UUUUUUUUACGGUUCGAUUUUUUUAAUCAUUUAUUUUCUGAUUUUCCUGAUUUAAUCAGUUUUUUAAUUUUUUUUUUGCUCACCCUACAUUUUAACAAGUAGCUGGUUCAUCCAUCCAUUAUAAUUAAAUUUUUAAAUUGAGUUAUCCCUGGACAAGAAAAUGACACAACAUCAGUCGGUCUGGUACGUAAUAAGAUAGUAAAAUAUAUUCAGUUUGGGUGAAAAAAACAUGUCAGAAGCCGGCUUCAGCAAUUAAUUUCAUUAAAAUUCUGAGAAAUUUUUCAAUCGUGCAAACAACAUCGUAGGAGUAUCGUUUUUAUGAAAUUUAAUGGCAUCUUACCUUACAACGAUGCUUCGUUUGGGCCACUUGACACCUACUCCUCACCUUGUAUUCUAUUUCGUCUCAAUUAUACUAUUUUCCAGCUCUUUUUUAUAUAUACAAUUAAAUUCAACUCUCGAAUUUUAUAAAACAAAGUAGUAUGUAUAUCAAAAUUAUGAGAUUUACGUGUAUCAAAAUUGUUAAAAUUUAUAAAUAUUAUAUUCUAGUGACUUAAUAUAAUGCGCAAAAUUAUGAGGUGUUAAAUUAAAGUUAUGUAAUAAUAAUAAUAAUAAUAAUAAUAAUAAUAAUAAUAAUAAUAAUAAGAGAAUGGUAGGAUAUGUUUUUUUUUUUUAUAAUUUUUGAAUUCAAAGUCGGAGGCAAUCAUUAAUUUUAUUCUUGAUGCCCUAGAUUGAUGUGAAGAAUGUGUAUUUAAAGUAAAAGCUUAGGAUAAUGAAUUUGUUUUCAUUUCAAGUUCAGCCCUGUAGUUAAUAUAAUGAUCACUGGUAGUUUAUAUAAUCAUUAAUUUCAGAAUUUAUAAAAUUAGUCGAGAUAUAAAUAAAUUGACUCCAACACUCAAUGUUAAUAAUAAUAAUAAAAUUGAGGUUCCAAUACAAAACGACCUUUGUCUAAAUCUCUGUAAAUUAAAAUAAUAGGAGACAAAAUUAAGGAGAAAAAAUAAUAAGAAGAUAUUCAUUUCAUUAUAUACAAGUCAAAGCUAAACAUUUGAGCCCAAGGCGGCGUCCAACGAGUGCCCACACUCUGCCCCACUUAAGCGACUGAAAAUCGCCGCCUGUUUUCUCCAUGAGACAACCGCCACGUAGCUUUUUAAUCAUCCACCGUUGAUUUUAGCACCGAGUUUGCUGAGGCAUCGACUCAUCCUGCCCUCGUUCAACAUCCAUCUCAGUCGUCCCUGACUCACCACCGCAACUCACAGAGGUAGCCACGUUAGGAGACGCAGUACCUCUUCUUUCCCUACUUAGCAUCCUCUUAAACGACAGCAUCCGACUCAUUGGCGAUCUAAACGCGUGACUCGCUGAUGGUGACUCAGUGUUUGACUCAUCCUCAAAAUUCCCAUUUCUCCUAGGCACUUCGAUGGUCACCCCGAUAAGCUCCAUCUGUUUCCUUCUGUCAUUAAACGACGACGUAGAAGCCGAACCCACACGACCCUCCUCAUGCUGACACAUGGUACCCGAACUGGAACCCGAACCCGGUACCGAAAUCUCGUAACCGGGACCAUCUUGAACCGGGUUUUCCGUCACCGGCUCAACCGGAGAGCGACAGAGAGGGCACGUGGAGUGAGAAAGAAACCACAUAUCAAUACACUCGAUGUGGAAGCUAUGAUUACAUUUAGGCAAGGUCCGACCCGUUUCGUUCUCUUGAAACUCGGAUAAACAAACCGCACACUCCAUCGAAUCUUGGUGGGUUUUUUCUGAAUACACAAAAACAGGAAGCGAUUUUAAGACGGUCUCUUCAAGGCCACGUGUGACUUGAGUUGUGACAAUGGUAGGGUUGUGGGCGGAGUCGACGUAGAAUACAAGAUGGUUACGGCGGUUGCGGGCAUGGCGGAUAUGGCGCCGCCGUGCGCGGAUGAGGUACCAGCGAGCGUAAAAGUGGAGACAAACCAUUAAAAUGAUAACAAGGAAAAGAAUAACAACAGCACUUAGCAUUAUCUUGCCACUUAAUGCAAAGCCUUCUCUAUAUUCCUUUGGUGGAUCUCCCAAGUCCGAGUCCAUUUCUUGAUUGUGUUUAUGACAGUUGCUGUGUGUAUGGAAUUAUAAGAGGAGAAGAAAGAGAGAGCGGGUUAGCUUGUAAAUGAUGAGAAGAGAAUGUUUUUGGAGUUGGUACUUGAAGUAGAGAAUUAAUAAUAAAGAACGAUAUAUAUAUAUAUAUAUAUAUAUAUAUAUAUAUAGAGAGAGAGAGAGAGAGAGGACCUAGGCUUCCAGGACGCUUCCAGGCAUGCCUGGGCUUUGUUUAUUAGAUGUCAACGGCGUGGGCCUAGCCUAUUAAGGCCACCAGCUCUUACUUUUUCUUUUUGUGUGUUUUUUGUUGGUGUUUUUUCUUUUCAUUGAUUCUUUUUAUUUAAUAUUGAUUGAUUUCUUCUAUCUUAAUUCUUUAAUUGUUUGGCUUAGUUUUAUUUUUUAUAAUAAUGAUUGAAAAAAUAUAAAUUAAUAAUAAUAAUCGGUAUAAAAAUAUUUACCUGUAAAUUUAUCUUUUACUUUACUACUAACAUAUGCUGGAGCUAUAAAAUUGAAUUCUUUUCCUAGCAAAGACCUAACGCCUGGUAUCUCCGGCCGAUAAAAAACAUGCAGGUGGAUUUAACCUGAGGCUUCAAGCAGUUGGACGGACCAGGUACACUACAAGAUUUCACAGUUUUACCGAUGGAAAAAUUCCGUCGGUGUGUGAUUAGAAGUUCGUCGGUGAUUUUCUUACCGACGUCAUCACCGACGGAAUACGUCCGUCGGCUUUACCUUCGUCGGUGAUUCCUCAUUCCGUCGGUAUAUCAGUCGGAAAAACAAAAAAAUCAUUUACCGACGGUUUUACAGACGGAACGUGCGCGCCAAAAAAAAAGAUUCCCGCUUGAAAUCUACCGACGGAUUUUCAUUCCGUCGGUGAAAUUGAAAUUACCGACGGAAAAUAUCCGUCGUUACAUCGGUCGGUGAAAUUGAAAAUACCGACGGAAUAUUUCCGUCUGUAAAUUCGUCGGUACUGGUGGAAGCUACUGUUAAAUGGCGACGGAUUAAGUCCGUCGGUAAGUCUGUCGGUGAAAGUUUGAAAUACCAACCGAAUUCAUCCGUCGGUAAAAUCCUUGGUAAUAGUUUUUUUCUUAAUUUGUUUUUAAAAAAUUAUUUAGGAUAUAUAAUAUAAAACUAUAUAAAUUAAUUGUUAUACAAACCAAUUAUGCAAAUAAAAUUUUUAUUAAACAUAAAAAAAAAAACAAAGUUAAAUAAUAUUCAUUACAAACUGAAUAUGUUUCAAGAAAAAUAAUAAAUGAAGUUUUAAAGGUAAAUAAUGUUGAUUACAAAUUAAUAUAAAGAUGAUGGAGCUUGAGGAGGAGGAGGAGAUCCUGGCGGAGGCUGGUGGUUAUACGGCCAAAAAGGAUUAGGCGCACAUGUUCCGCUAUUUGACAAUUUCAUAAUCAUUUCGUAAAGCUGGUCAUAAGCCGCUUUUUGCUGUUCCUGAGCCGCUUCAUACUCCGCUUUUUGUUGUGCUUGAGACGCUUUGAAUUGCUCAGACUCCGCUCUUUGUUGUGCAUGAGACACUUUGAGUUGUGCGUACUCCGCUUGUAGGUUGUCGUAUUUCUCGUUGAGUUGCUGCAAAGCCACGAACUCCUUAGAUUGGGAGCUCGCUAUUGAUUGGGAGCUCCCAACGGUUGAAACACUACGGGUCGACCGCAAGUUGUCGGCCGUAGUGUUGGAGAGCCCGUAAACCCGAUUUUUAUCUGGUCCACCUGACGAGCCAACCUCCAUCCACAAAUCCGGAUCGAAUUCCGGAUGGGUCAAAGUAUCGUCCCCGUAUCUCUCCCUCAACCGAUUAUUAUAGGUCUCCUAAAAAUAAAAAAAAAAAGUAAUCAUCAUAUUCAAUACAAUAAACAUAAUAACUUACAUAAUAACUUACAAAAUAAAAUGGUUGAACAAACAUACCACGAAAUGCUGAGCACGGUUAUCAAUGAACUGUUGCGCCCCCUUCUGGCGAUCUUGACUCCGCACGUGCGUCUCCACAAACAGCUCCAUCGGGCUCGGCUCACGUCCAAGAGACGCAGCCUAUAAUGAAAAAAGAUAUAUUAACAACAACUGAAUUUAACGAUAUAUUUCAUUUAAAUUAAUCUUACCAUCCGUUUCGCAUGUACAGCAAACGAAACGGAGCCGCCAGUGUGAGUUGUCACCCCGCCAUGAAUUGGCCGAUUCCGGUUGCCAGCACCGGACUGUGAGCGUCGUGUGAACCGCUCAGACGUCACGUGCUCAAGAUAGUGCGGCCAUAUAUCUUCCGGGAUGUAUAUCGGUUUGAAAUCCCUCCAAACCGCAACAUCGUUCCAGCCUUGGAAACCCCUAUCCCUCGCGGUUUUUUUUGCCUUUUUCUGUGCUUCAUACCAAAAAUCACGCAACCUGCUUCACGCAACCAAAAAUUACAUUUCGAAACAUAAAUUUUUGUCUAAAAAAAAUCAUGUAUUGUUUUCGAUCUUACCUAGUUGCCGCGUGAUUUUCCCACACCCUCCUCACAACAGCUUUAUACUCAAUGUCCCAGCAGAAUUUGUGCUUUGUAUAAAUAAACAAGUUUAAAUAAAAAUAAUACAAUUAUAUUAAUAAGCUGAAAAUUAUAAAUUAAUACCAACCUCAAACCUGUUAAACCAUGCAUUGAUUUGAGGCAUCCAUUCAGGAUGCUUGGAUAUCUGACUCCAUUGAAACAAUGGAAUCUCCAUCGACGAUUUAAACGCCGAUGAUAUUACUCGGGCGGCUUCAAUGUUUGUGAACCUGAAAAUAAAUGAAAUAAAUUCAAUAGUGAUUACUUGAUAAAAAAACUAAAACCUUAACAAACUUACAUUGAAAGGUCGUCCUUCCACUGUGCCUCGUACUUGCGGGUAAAUUGAUUCCUCUGCGAAGGCACGCCGCCUCUGCGCUGUGAAGUACCGCUGGAAGAGGCAGCAUCGGUUGACGGCGCAGGUGGUGUAGGUGCCUCUUCUUGAGAGGCACCUAAGGAAAUAUCAUCCUCGCUGCUAGACGAACUAGCUGCGAUCGCACCUGAGCGACCAACUCUGGUUUUCGUUCUACGCAUCUACACAAUUUGAUACAAAUAAUUAUAUAAUUAAAUUCAAAUGUAAAAAAAAAAUUCGACAGCACCUCCCCUAUACCGGAUACUACCCAAAUCCACAAACCUGCACAUAUUAACAAUAGCCACAACCAAUUUACCCAAUCUAUACUAAUUAUUCCAACAUAUUCAAUUACUAAUUCUAAGGUAAAUUCAACAUUAAGAAUUACAAUUCAAGUAAUUAUUCAAUAAUUAUGCCAAUACAACAAAACAAUAAAUAAAAAAAAAACUCUAUAAUAACAAUCAAAAUAAAUGGAAAAAAUUAAACACAAAGCAUGCAAUAAUAGAGUAAAACUAAUAAUUAUUCCAACAUAUUCAAUUACUAAUUCUACGGUAAAUUCAACAUUAACAAUUACAAUUCAAGUAAUUAUUCAAUAAUUAUGCCAAUACAACAAAACAAUAAAUUAAAAAAAAAACUCUAGAAUAACAAUCAAAAUAAAUGGAACAAAUUAAACACAAAUCAUGCAAUAAUAAAGUAAAAUUAAUAAUUAUUCCAACAUAUUCAAUUACUAAUUCUAUGGUAAAUUCAACAUUAACAAUAAAAAUUCAACAAAUUAACUAAUAAUAAUUAUGCCAAUACAACAAUAAAAAAUAUUCAAAAAAUUCAAAAAAAAAACUAUAUACUUUAGCAAUGAAUUAUGCAAAAAAAACUAUAGACUUUAUCUACAUUACAAAAAAUACACCAAAAAAAAAAAAUAACCAAAAAAAUAGCAAAAAAAAACUAUUAAAGUAAAAUGAAAUAGAGAAAACACUAACCUUUUAAACUGAUGAAGAUGAUGAAGAAAACUUGCUAGAGAUUGGAGGUGAAAGCUUUGAAGAAUGGAGAGGAAAAAAAUCAAAAGCUUAAGGUGAGAAACGAAGGAGAAGAAAAAAUGAACUGAACGGGCGGUCACUUGAACUUAUAUGACAGUUUUACCGACGGCUUCACCGACGGAUAUAAAAUUAAUUAUUAUUUUAAUUUAUUCCGUCGGUGAUAUGUUAAAAAUCCGUCGGCAAAGUUUGAAUUUCGCUCCAUAUUUUUCGUGGUCCGUCGGUAAUUCCGUCGGCAAUAUUAUGAGGUCAGAGGCGCAUUUAAUGCGCAACCCUUUGAAAUUCGCGCAGUCCGUCGGUAAUGUUGUCGGUAAAAUUGAACUGCCGACAACUUACCGACGUAUUUAAAUUCGUCGGACUAAGUCCGUCGGUGAUCAGGUGGCAUUUCAAGUAAUUAUUUUCGAACUCUCUGUGAAAUGCCGACGGACUAAUUCCGUCGGUGUGGCGGUGGCAUUUCAAGUAAUUAUUUUUGAACUCUCUGUGAAACACCGACGGACUAAUUCCGUCGGUGUUGCCGUCUGUAAUUGGGUGGCAUUUCAAGUAAUUAUUUUCGAACUCUCUGUGAAAUGCCGACAGACGUAAGGCCGUCGGUGUGGCCGUCGGUGAUAGGGUGGCAUUUCAAGUAAUUAUUUCAUGUCACAAAAUAUAUCAUCCAUCAUAAUUGUGGCAUUUCAACUAAUUUUUUCAAGUAAUAAAUAUUUUGUGUUUCAAAAUAUAUAUAUCAUUCAUAAUCUAAAUUACAUGUAAAAAAAGGUUUUACAUAGGGCUUCAUUUUGGUAGUUAGUCAGAAUUUUCUUCUUCUUCGUCAUCAAUUGAAUUGUCAUCACCUUCAUCGCAAUCUUCAAUAUGAAUAUCAUCUUCUUCAUCGAUAUUUGGUUGUCCGCUAGAGCUCAAAACAAAAUUUAACUCAUCUGCGUCAACAUCAACAAGACUAUCAUCGAAAACACGAAAAUUUGAAUUUUCUUCCAAUUCAAUCGAAGGAGCAACUCGAUAUGGUUCAACCACCUCACUAACUUGAAAGACUUCAUCUCGCACACUUGUGUCUUCGUUCUCAUCCUGAACAACCUCGACACGACCCCGGGGUUUCGUUUUUAAAACGGACAACCAAUCCACUCUUGAUCGAUCCUUUCUAAAUGAAGGGGUGUAUGUGUAAUAAACUUGUUGACAUUGCUUUGCGAAAACAAAGACAUCGUUUAUGUUGCGGAGUCUAGCUUUUGAGUUGAUUUCGACCAGACCAUAGUGCGGAUCAACUCUGAUUCCUCUGUCAGUCGUGUCAUACCAAUAGCAUUUGAAUAAAAACACUAUAUUCUGCUCGUUAUGAUAUUGCAGUUCGACGACCUCUUCUAAUCUACCAUAGUAGUCAACUUCUAACUCACUACUAGUGGAUCCCUUAACACAAACACCGCUGUUGUAUGUCUUUCUUCCUUGCCCGUAUUCUUCAGUAUGGAAAACAUAUCCAUUGACAAAAUACCCGUUGUAGCACUUACAUUUUCUUUCAGGCCUCAGGCUUAGUAAAGACAAUGACUUAGGUGCACUCCUUCCCAUUUGAUAAACCUUGCAUGUAAUGUACAUCAAUAAACAGUAAAUGAACGAGAAUCUCGUAAUGACAUGCAUACGUACAGUAAUUUUGCAAGUUAGAAUGAGUUUGUGAUAGUGCUUACAUGUGUUCUGAACCACGUGGCAAACUGCUCAUCUUGUAAUUAAAAGAUUUGGGAUUCAGUCAGCUGUGAGUUAUUGGAGAGCAAAUAUUGACGAUGUUGCCUGCAAGUGAUAAUGAGUGUAUGAUAUUACAAUAUAUAAUUAACAGUAUAUUACUAACAAAGUUUAAUUAGUAUAAACUUACUGAAUAAAAGGUCUCAACUCAUCACAGUUAAAUAGAACAUAGUUGUGUGCUUGUUUGAACUCUAUUUCCGACAAAUAUCUUCCUCUUACGGCAUUUUUAGGUGUGGGUCGUCCAGUAUUGGAGAAUAUUGACAAGUUCCCACUGGAAGGCACUUCACCGCCAUCUUCAUGCCGUGGAACGCGAUUGAUUCUCGUUCUCAGAUGAGGUUCGAAAUAGUACGAGAUAAAUGUUGAGAUCUCCUCAACAAUAUAGGCCUCACAUAUCGAAGCCUCAACAUGCGCCUUGUUCUUAACCUUUUUCUUGAGAUUAAACAAGUACCUGCAUUGAAAUAUUAAUCAAGUAUUUUCAAUUAAGAAAAACAUAUAAAAUACUUUUAUAUAUGAAUUACAUUGCAACUGUAAUAUCUAACCGUUCGAAUGGGUACAUCCAUCUAUAUUGGACCGGUCCUCCAGCUUUUGCCUCGAACGGUAGAUGUAUAGGGAGAUGCUCCAUUGAGUCAAAAAAUGAUGGAGGGAAUAUCAUCUCAAGUUUGCAUAGUGUCUUGACGAUAUUCGUUUGAAGCCUCUCAAUGUGAUCAACAUUCAACUUGCUGGAGCAUAUAUCUCUGAAGAAAUGACUGAUCUCCGUGAGUGCAUCCCAUAUUCUCUUUGGCAACAAAUCAUGAAAAGCUAAUGGGAUGAGUGUUUGCAUAAACACGUGGCAGUCAUGACUCUUCAUUCCAUACAAUCUGCAGUCCUCUAUAUUAACCAGCCUUGAUAUGUUCGAUGCAUGUCCAUCCGGAAAACGCAGACUCUUAAGCCAUUUGUAGACUAGCAGUUGUGCGUUUUUCUCUAACACGAAGCUUGCUCUUGGUUUUGCGACCCGUGACUCAUCAUAAACCAACUCCAUAUUUUUUCGGUUACAGUAUAAAGCUAUAUCCAAUCUAGCCUUGAGGUUGUCCUUUGUCUUCCCCUUCACAUCCAUGACGGUGUUGAAAAUAUUCUCAAACAUGUUCUUUUCGAUGUGCAUGACGUCAAGGUUAUGGCGAAGCAGAUUGGUCUUCCAAUAAGGAAGCUCAAAAAAGAUACUUCGCUUUACCCAAUUAUGGGUCAAACCAAAACCAGGAAACUUUUGCUUUCCUGAUUGAAGGCCAAACACAAUGUCACCGUACUCUGAGACAACAUCAUGCAAUUCUUCACCAGAAAGACGCGGGGAUGCAACAUCUUUUUCAACUCUGCCAACAAAGAAAUCUUUUCUGUUCUUUCUGUACCUGUGAUGAAGUGGCAAGAAGCGACGAUGACAGUCAAAAAAAGAAGCAUUACCUCCAUUUGCUAGCGUGAAUACCUUGUUGUUUUCCAUGCAGUAUGGACAUGCGAGUUUUCCAUGCGUGCUCCAACCAGAAAGCAUUCCAUAAACUGGAAAAUCAUUGAUAGUCCACAUCAAUGCCGCCCUCAUAAGGAAAUUUUGUUUCCUCGAUAUAUCAUAAGUCAGAGCUCCGGAGGACCACAACUGCGCCAACUCAUCAAUCAACGGUCGAAGACAAACAUCUAUAUUCCGCCCCGGGCUUCUUGGACCGGGUAUGACAGUAGAUAAAAACAUGAACUCCGGCCUCAUACACAUUCCCGGUGGCAAGUUAUAAACUGUGAGUAUGACCGGCCAACAAGAAUAAGGAGCAGCAAAUGACCCAAAUGGGUUGAAUCCGUCUGUACACAACCCAAGACGCACAUUCCUUGAUUCAGCUGAAAAGUGAGGAUGAACACUGUUAAAGCGUUUCCACGCUUCGCCGUCAGAAGGAUGAACCAUCACUCCAUCAACCGCAUGGUGUGCUUGGUGCCAUGUCAUGUGCUCAGCAGUCCUUGGUGACAUGAAUAACCUCUGCAGUCUAGGUGUGAUCGGGAAGUAUCUAAGUUUUUUAUAUGCCACUAGAGUCUUUCCCCUGCCAGUUCUAGGUUUGUAACGGGAAUGCCCGCAUGUCAUGCACUUGGUCAUCUCAGCAUUUUCAAGGUAGUAUAACAUGCAGAAGUUAGGGCACAUGUCAAUUUUCUGGUAUCCUAAACCGAGGGGUUUCAUCAUGGACUUCGCAGCAUAGAAGUUCUCUUUCAGCCUGUUCCCUUCAGGUAAAAUGCUUCUUGUCCAUUCAAUAAUCUUGUCAUACCCGGCCUCACUCAACCCGUGAUCUGACUUGAUGGUGAACACCUGUGCUACGGCCGAUAAUUUACUGUGGUUCGUGCAGCCAUCCCAUAAUGGUUCGUCAGAAUCUUUCAACAAAUCAAAAAACCUAGCUGCAUCUACAUUAGGUUCUUCUUCUACGAUUGGACAUUGACUGCCAUUACCUUGAUUCAUUCUCAUUGCAUCCAUAACCAUAUUUCUGUAAGGAUUAGUGUUGUCAUUUGCCGUUUCAUGCACGUUACUAGCACUAGAAGUAGACCCAACCACCGUUUCUUCCAUUCUCCUCUCACUCUCGCUAACAAAUACUUCUCCAUGUGCAUACCAACACUGGUAAUUCUCCAUAAACCCUUUGUGUAGAAGAUGCAUCAUUACAACAUCUGGAUGCAGAUACUUUUUAUUUUCACACUUCCUGCAUGGACACCUAAUACCGCCUCCAGUAAAAUUUCUGGGAAUAGAUGUUACGAAAUUAAUAAAACCCUGAACCCCAUUACAAUAAUCCAUCCUCCGCAAUCCUUGGGGUGAAUCUCGAUACAUCCAUGAACGAUCAUCCAUGACUUAUAUCGAACCUCUAUAAAAUUAUGAUGACAUCAUGUAUUAAUUAACUAAGUUAGGUAAAUAAACUUGUACAAAUAUUACUUUAACUCGAGAUUAUCCAACAAACCAAUCACAACUUCUCAUAAAUAUUAAAUAUUCAUUAUCAUUUAUCAACGUCCAUACGAAUUAAAAAAUAUAAAUUUACAGAAAUUAUCACUCCGCAAUACCAUUGAUAAAACUUUAAACGGGCCCAUUAAGCAAGCUAUUAAUUAUUUCAAAAUAGCACAUGUAAUUCGGUAAUUCCAUAAAGAAAUAACAAUUUACAAACAAAUACAAUCUUACAAAAUCUAAAACAAACCAUAACAGGUACAAAAUUAUACAUUCAUAUACUACAAGUUUGUUUGAGAAAUAACAAUAAAACAUGUACAUCUACUAACAAAAUACAUAUACUAAAAAAACAAUAAAAUUGACAUUUAAUUAAAUGUUAAAAUUUAAAAAGAUAUAAUUACUUACAAAAAUUGAUAAAAUCCGUCGGUAAAUCAGAACACGCGCGGAUGCUGUGACCACAAAACUUCAAGAAAUAUAACUUGUUGUGCUGAUAUGAGGAAGAUUUUUUUUUGGGGGGGAGGGGGCCUGGUUGUUUGCAGAUGAGGAGAGUUGGGAUGAGGAAGAAGAAGGAGAAAUAGGGGAUGAGAGGGUCGGCAGAGCUGUCAUAUAUUAACUUUUUCCGACGGUUUUACCGACGGACACUCCGUCGGUUAUUACGCCGGUGAUUCUGACGGAAACAUAGACAUGUCACCGUACGGAUCUGCCAUUUCAAAUCCCUCGGUGAGUCCGUCGGAAAUUUAAACGGCGAACCGGUCACAUCACUUUACGGGCACUGUACGGGCAGUCGUUUUUGAAUCCGUCGGCGAUUCCGUCGGAAAAAAAUAACCCGCCAAAACCUCCACGUCAGCGACUCGCCUUUUUUUAAAUUCGGAAACUUUUCCGUCCGUAAUUCAGUCGGUAAAAUACAGACGGAAAAUUUCCGUCGGUAUUUACCGACUGAAUUUACCGACGGAAAAGUUUUCGUCAGUUGUUACCGACUGAAUUACGGACGGAAAGUGGCCGUCGGUAAUUUCGACCUCAAAAUACCGACAUAAAAUAUUCCGUCGGUAAAUCCGUUGGUAUUUAACGAAUUUCUGGUAGUGGUAUUAAUUUCUCUAAAAGGAGAAGACAUCCAUCAGGCAGACAAAUGACGAGGAAGAAACCCUAGAACAUUCUUGGAAAGAAAGAUACAACAACAUUUAAUUAAAAUAUAAUAAAUAAAGUAUUAAUAAUACUGGCUUGAGUUUAGAACCUCAGCUUCAUUUUUCUUCUAUACCACCUUUAGCAGAUGAUCUUUGUCGUCACCGGUAGCUAGCCGGCCGAGACUUUAUUUAAGAUUCUAAUAUCGAAGCAAUCUCUGUGAAGAAUUGCAUUUCUCGAUUAAUUGCGACAUUAUAAAUAUUUGCUAAUUAGGUUAAAACAGAGGGAAAGGAUGCUUGUAGAGCAUUUAGAAGACCUCGAUGUCCACCCAUGAACACCUUCAAAAUGUAUUUGCUAAUUACGUUAUAGUGUUAAAUUCUUCAAAAUAUUAAAUUGAUUUUAUGGGUUAUAUAUAUAUAUAUAUAUAUAUAUAUAUAUAUAUAUAUAUAUAUAUUUGUGUCUCGCAAUAGUUUUGGAUCCCACGCAAAUUAUUGUUUUUUUGCCAAUAUCUAAAUAGGGGUUUAAUUAAAGAAAAAAUAAAGUUUGGUAGCCAAAUAGGAUCAAAAUUGCAAUAUUUAAAGGUAUAAGGACCAAAAUGAAUAGGAACUAAAAAUUUGAAGGCUUAAUUGACUUAAUCAGGGGUGAAAUUGCAAGAAUUGAAAGUUUAAAGGGUCAAUCGAGGGAUAAAUUGAAGAAUUAUGAGAUCAAGGACCAAUAUGUUAAGCGCAUGAAAUUUGGGAGCACAUGCAAUUGAAGACUCCAGGGGUUAAAUUGAAAGGAUUGUUAAAGUUUUGACCAAUUGAGGUUUUAAUUGCUAGAUGUACAAGAUCAGAGACUAAAUUUGAAUUAGGGAAAUUUAAACCCUAAUUGAACUUUGGAAAACAACGGCCUCGUUUUAUUUGAAUCUAAAAAAAGAAAAGAUCUUAAGUGAAGCGGUGAGUUUCACCAAAAAUAUCUGAAAUGUCUAUACGACGCCGUUGGGAGAAAUAAGGAGGCAGCCAUUCUUUUUGUCUCCCCGCAUGGCUAUACUGGAGGUGCAUUAAUGGCUCUCGGGCAUGUUUUGGACAAAAGGUUCUCUCUCUCACGCGUCCCUCACCCUUUAACGAACAGUCCCCUCUUUUCAUCAGAUCAUUUACUUUGCUCCCAUUCCUUUCCUGGUCUGUAUUUGUCUCAGAGGGCUCCUGAAAUUCCAUCGAAAAACCUCUGCCUAAACAGCCAAAAACCAGCAUAGACAGAUGAUUGUCUUACUUCAGUCUUUAAACUCAGGCAAAUAACAGGUACUGUUUACAAAAAAACAGUGGGGAUGUCUUUCUGGAGAUCAAUGGUGAUGAUCUCUGAUAAACCAAGAAGAUCAAAUAGAGUGCCUAUCAAGAAUCCAAGAUACGGGGGUUAAGCAGGGAUCAGUUUGCAUGGGACAUUAGCGUGUGACCUGGAGAUUAUGACUUAAGAUUUGCAUUAGUUGUUAUUGCUGUUAUUUUGCCUAGGAAUCGGUCAAUAAGUUAGAAAGAAUAAUUCCAUUAGUGAUGGCUAUUUUAUUGUCAACUAGCCGUUCCACUCCCUUUUAAUUAGGGAAGUAGUUGAGUCUUUUUUUUUUUUGUAUUUAAACUCUGUUUCCAGUAAGCAAGGAAUAAGAAAAGAAUUACAAGGUUUAUUCUCACCUCAAGCAGAGUAUAUUUUACACUUUUCUUUAAAUAGCUUUGAUUGGGACCUAUCAUUGGUAUCAGAGCCAUUACAUUAUGACUACCAAUAAAGAAAGAAUCGAGAAUUUAGAAGCGGCUCUUGGGGGACUUCAAGCUGAUUUCAACAGAAUGGAGUUGGGUGUUACCGAUAAACUACAACAGCUAGAGACUGUUAUUAGCAAGAUAUCUGAAGUUUUGCUUACAAGGCAAGAACCGUCCUCUAGCAAUGUCAACGAACGCAGCGGACAAUCUUUCGGUGCGCGUUCUCGUGAAAACAUAGAAGGGGGUCGCUCAAUGUUUUCCUCUUAAUUGGCUAAGCUCGAAUUUCCCAAGUAUUUUGGUAAUGACCCAACUGAAUGGUUCACGCGUGUCGACCAAUUCUUUGAGUAUCAGGGCACUUUGGAAACACAAAAGGUGUCUUUGGCUUCCUUUCAUUUGGAAGGAGAAGCAAAUCAAUAGUGGCAGUGGUUACGCAAGGCUUAUCACGAGGAAAGAAAGGAGGUGUCGUGGGAUAUUUUUGUAGAAGAAUUAUGGUCUCGUUUUGGUCCUACGGAUUGUGAAGAUUUUGACGAGUCUUUAUCAAAAAUAAGACAAACAGGAUCUUUACGUGAAUACCAAAAAGAAUUUGAGAGGUUGGGAAAUAGAGUGCAAGGGUGGACUCCAAAGACAUUAGUGGGCACCUUUAUGGGAGGUCUUAAACCUGAAAUUGUAGAUGGAAUUCGGAUGUUUAAGCCAAAAUCCUUGAAGGAAGCCAUCAGUUUGGCGAGGAUGCGAGAUGAGCAGCUGAACCGUCAAGAGAAGACUCAUCGUCCAUUCAAUAGGACCACUGACGUCUCUAAUCGUCCAUUCAGUAGGACCAUUGACGUUUCUUCAUCAUCAAAAAUGAAGUCUGCAUCACCAAUGAAAAGACUAACUUGGUCUGAGAUGCAAAGUAGGCGUGCUCAAGGCCUUUGCUUUAAUUGUGAUGAGAGGUUUGUAUUAGGGCAUAAAUGCAAAGGACCACAGUUGUUGUUGCUAGAAGGCAGUCAUGAAGAAGAAGAUACAGAUAACGAGGGAGCUCACACCAUAUUUCAAGGAGAACCUGAAAUUUCACUCCAUGCUCUUACAGGGUGGUCAACAGCCAGAACCAUGCGUGUCUCGGCCAAAGUGGGACUUCAUGAACUAAUUGUUCUUAUUGAUAGUGGAUCAACCCAUAAUUUCAUCAAUGAUAAGAUAGCUGAAGUAUUGCAAUUGCCAGUGGUGCCAACUGAACCCUUUAAUGUGAAAGUGGCUAAUGGUGGUCCUCUAAAGUGCCAAGGGAGAUUUGAGAAUGUUCAAGUCUUAUUGCAAGGUAUCCCAUUUACCUUAACUCUUUAUUCUUUACCACUGAUUGGGUUGGAUAUGGUGUUAGGAGUUCAUUGGUUUGAACAAUUGGGUACGGUGGUUUGUGAUUGGAAAAGAAUGAUAAUGGUGUUUUUGUGGAAGAACCAGCAUCAUCAUUUGGAAGGAAUUGACAACCAACCAAUUCAGCCGAUAAAAUUUAAAGCAAUUUCAAAAGAGAUGAAACAGGGCAAUUCAAUAUUUGCUGUUUGUCUACAAGCGGCCAGGGAAGAUAUGCCUCAAAGCACUCAACCAGACAUGCAACAAUUGUUACAAGAAUUUGAGGACAUCUAUCAGGAACCAAAGCAGCUUCCACCACAAAGGGAGAUAGCUCAACACAUCAAUCUUAAAGAGGGGACUGAGCCAAUUAAUGUCCGGCCAUACAGGUAUGCCUACUUUCAAAAAGCUGAAAUAGAAAAACAAGUUCAUAACAUGUUAAAAUUGAGGCUAAUAAGGUCUAGCACAAGUCCAUUCUCUUCUCCUGUUUUGUUAGUUAAAAAAAAAGAUGGAACUUGGCGUUUCUGUACCGACUAUAGAGCCCUUAAUGCUGUAACCAUCAAGGAUAGAUUUUCUAUUCCUACCGUGGAUGAUAUGCUUGAUGAACUAUAUAGGGCAACUUUCUUUACUAAACUUGAUUUAAGAUCCGGUUAUCACCAGGUACGGGUAAAUCCAUUAGACAUUUACAAAACUGCUUUUCGUACACACAAUGGUCAUUAUGAAUAUUUGGUUAUGCCGUUUGGCUUAUGUAAUGCCCCUUUAACAUUUCAGGUUGUUAUGAAUUCCAUAUUUCGCCCAUAUCUUCGCAAAUUUGUGUUAGUGUUUUUUGAUGAUAUUCUAAUCUAUAGCCCCAAUUGGAUCAUGCAUCUUGAACAUGUUAAAAAAGCUUUUGAAAUAUUACGGCAUCAUAAAUUCUUCCUCAAGCUUAGCAAGUGUGUAUUUGGCCAACAAGAAGUUGAAUACUUGGGUCACAUUGUAACUUCCCAAGGUGUCAAGGCUGACCAAGGGAAAAUUCAGACUAUGCUUAAUUGGCCUCGACCCACUACUGUUUUUGACUUGCGUGGAUUCUUAGGCCUUACAGGUUAUUAUAGAAAGUUUGUCCGCAAUUAUGGAAUCAUAGCUCGGCCACUCACCAACCUUUCAAAAAAGGGACUCUUUAGAUGGACAGAUGAAGCAGAUGCGGCAUUCAAUGCUUUAAAGCAAGCAAUGACUUCUACUCCUACACUUGUUAUGCCUAAUUUUCAUGAACCAUUUGUCAUUGAAUCAGAUGCUUCAGGUGCUGGCAUUGGGGCAGUGUUAACUCAGCAACGGAGACCCAUCGCAUUCAUGAGCCGAGCAUUGGAGGUCACUAAGCAAUCAUGGUCUACCUAUGCCAAAGAACUGCUUGCCAUUGUUCAAGCUAUUCGCACUUGACGUCCUUACUUGUUGGGCAGAAAAUUUUAUAUCCACACUGACCACUGCAGCCUCAAGUAUUUGAUGGAGCAGCGCAUAGUGACACUAGAACAACAGAAGUGGGUGUCCAAAUUAUUGGGGUACGACUAUGAGAUAACUUACAAACCGGGAAGGGAGAAUUCCGUUGCUGAUGCUUUAUCAAGGGUAAUCGGCAGCCCUAGCCUUAAUACUCCUUUUGUGUUCCUCAAACAUCUUUGUGGCAGACACUCAAGGAUGAAGCCAACCAGAUCCAUACAUGGUCCGAAUUGGCAAGCUUGCAAUUGAACAUCUGGGAGCUCCCUAUAAAUGGCUGAAUGGUUUGGUAUGUUACAACAACCAUGUAGUCAUUCCUCCUAAUUCCUCUUUUGUCCAACAACUAUUACAGGAAUUCCAUGAUUCACCAUAUGGAGGCCAUUCUGGGGUAUUAAGAACAUACAAACGAUUGGCACAACAAUUCUAUUGGCCAUCAAUGCAUAAGGUGAUUCAACAAUAUGUAGCCUCUUGCACUAUUUGCCAAAAGAAUAAAGCCGACACUUUCUCUCUAGCGGGUCUUCUUCAACCAUUGCCCAUUCCUUGUCAAGUAUGGGAUGACAUCACCAUGGAUUUUAUUGAAGGGUUACCGCCAUCUAACGGUAAAAGCACUAUUUUUGUGGUUGUAGACCACUUAAGUAAAUCAGCUUAUUUUUUGGCUUUAUCGCAUCCUUACACGGCAAAAAUGGUAGCUGAAAAAUUUGUGGAAGGAAUUGUCAAACUUCAUGGCAUGCCAAAGUCAAUUAUUAGUGAUAGAGAUCCUAUUUUCAUAAGUCACUUUUGGCGUGAAUUCUUCAAAAUGUCGGGUACAAAGCUGCACAUGAGCUCCGUUUAUCAUCCCCAAACCGACGGUCAAUCUGAGGUGGCUAACAGGUGUGUUGAGCAAUAUCUUCGAUGUUUUGUUUCUCAACAACCUCGCAAAUGGAAUUCUUUUCUUUCCUGGGCAGAAUUUUGGUACAACACUACAUACCACUCGUCUAUUGGGAUGACACCUUUUCAAUGGAGACCACCACCGAGUAUUCCGAAUUAUCAAGUUGGAGCAUCUUCUGUGAAUGAGGUGGACCAGACAAUGGUAUCUCGCAAUACCAUUUUACAACAGCUCAAAAUAAAUUUACAUGCAGCAGUUAAUCGAAUGAAACAAGUGGCUGAUUCAAAAAGAAGGGACGUGGACUUUCAAGUGGGGGAUUUGGUCUUCCUUAAACUCCAUCCUUAUCGCCAGCAAACUGUGUCUAGGAGACCAUAUAAGAAGUUGGCUAGUCGUUUUUAUGGUCCGUACAAAAUUGAAGAAAAGGUGGGAAAGGUAGCUUAUAAACUCCAAUUACCUGCAGGUGCUCGACUUCACCCUGUUUUUCAUGUUUCACUGUUUAAGAGGCAAGUAGGGGAGCCCAAUACCUCUAGCACUGAGCUGCCGCCCAUAAAUGAUGAUGGUGAGAUUGUUAUGGAACCUGAAGCUAUUUUAGAUACUAGAUGGGUGAGGAAAGGGUCUAGUUUUGUUGAAGAAAACCUUGUCCAAUGGAAAAAACUUUCAAAAGAAGAUGCAACUUGGGAAAGUACACAGGAACUGCGAGACAAGUAUAUGAACUUGAACCUUGAGGACAAGGUUCUGCUUAAAGAUGGGGGCAAUGAUAAACUAAGAAGAUCAAAUAGAGUGCCUAUCAAGAAUCCAAGAUACGGGGGUUAAGCAGGGAUCCGUUUGCAUGGGACAUUAGCGUGUGACCUGGAGAUUAUGACUUAAGAUUUGCAUUAGUUGUUAUUACUAUUAUUUUGCCUAGGAAUCGGUCAAUAAGUUAGAAAGAAUAAUUCCAUUAGUGAUGGCUAUUUUAUUGUCAACUAGCCGUUCCACUCCCUUUUAAUUAGGGAAGUAGUUGAGUCUUUUUUUUUUUGUAUUUAAACUCUGUUUCCAGUAAGCAAGGAAUAAGAAAAGAAUUACAAGGUUUAUUCUCACCUCAAGCAGAGUAUAUUUUACACUUUUCUUUAAAUAGCUUUGAUUGGGACCUAUCAAUCUCGCCAAGCCAAAGACUCAUUUGCCCCUACUUUCACCUAUAAAAGACCCCUCGAAGAAGGGAUUACAAGAAAAAAAGAAAGAAAGAAAGAAAAAGGGCGAGGCAGUGAGUAGUUCCUGAAAAAGAGCUCUCAAGGUUAAACUUGAGAGAAAACACAGUAGAGAUAGAUAGGAGGAAGAAAAGAAAGUGAAAAGGAAAGAAGAGAGUUUUACAGGGAGGGGUAUUAAGGAAACAAAAGAAGGAAAAGAGGAAUGGCGUGAAAGAGUUGAUUUUAUUAGUCUGUACGUAUGCUCGUUUUCUCAAAAAGAAAAAAUUAAAAAAAAGGGUAAAAAAAUGAUGCCUUCCUUUCUGUGUUUUGGUUAGUUUUGUAUCCUAAAGAUAUGGUAAAACAGUAGCAUAGGAAGAAGAAGUCUGCAGACUGCAGCAACUUGGUCUCUUGGUGAAGGUUUUAACGUGCAUGCUCGAUGCGUAUAUAAACUUGACAGUGCAUAUGUUAUUUAGAAUGAAUUUACAUGGUGUGUGUGGGUAUGAACUGGAGUUUCAAUAUUGUACGGUCCAGUAGGUGUGCAUGAUAUAUGGUAUUGUGUGUUUAAUAUGUUAUAAAAAUAGAUUUUAUAUUAAAUAAAUAAACAAAGAGAACAUUAGCAUACGUUUGAAAAGGUUUUGUUAUAUCUUAUAGAAUGAGGAACACCAAAUCAAUAAUUUAGAUGUUGGAAGAAAAACUUGGAUGGAAACUCAAAAUUUAUACAUGUGUUAAUGUGUGUGAUGGCACUUGCCCAGUUGGCAUUAUAUAAAAUAAAUAAUUUUUUAUUUUUAGAAUUAAUUAAUUAUACAUGACACCUCGUGCUAAUUUAUUCAGUUAAUUUGAUCAAAGAGUAGCUUUUUGAACUAUACAAAUAUUUUGGUAUAAAGAUAUGCACCUUUUAAACUCUUUAGACACUUUCAAGAGACGUGCCUUUUAAAUUAUCCAGACACUCUAGUCUAAAAGGGUGUUAUUUUUUUUUUUUUUAUAAAUAUCAAUUUGAUAUUGACAUAAAUCAAUUAGAAAACAAUAUUAUUCUCUUCUUAUUUUUUUUCUACAAACUCUUUGUUUAUGUUAAUCAUAAAUUAAACAGUUAAAAAACUUAUAGAAAUUGUUAUUUAUAAGUUUAAGGCUUUGUUGUAUCCUAAAUGUAUAUUGCUUUAACUCUGCAACGAAUAUAGUGGGGGCAAUUAAUACUUUAAAGAUAAUGAUCUUUACACCUCAAUGUUUGUUUGCUAUAUCCAUUGACAUAACAAAUUUAAGGUAUUAAUCUACAAUGGAGUCCAAAACCAUGGUGAAUUAAGAGUUUGCAGCUGGAUUGAUACGAUCAAAGCAAGAUCAAAUUCAGAUUUUGACGUAAAAUUUUCUACCAUCCAGUUUUAAUCUAUUAAGUAUAAUUCUAAAUCAAAUUGUUGGAUCAAGCUUAAAUUUUAUCAGAAGAGUCCAGAGGUAUUUUUCUAUGCUGGGAUAUAAAUUUCAGGUGAAUCGAAGUUCGUGAAGGCAAGAUAUAGAUCAGAACAAGAUGUAUGAAUUUUGUUAUUUAUUUUCUUUUGACUUAUGAACUUUCUAUUUGGCAAAAAUCCUUUUCCUACAAGGAUGUGACAGCUUGUAUUGGAAAUUUUCUAGUUAUACAAGAAUCUUUAAUAGGCUAUAAUAUAAUUUUCAAGUGUGGCAAUCUGUGAACUUCUUGCUAAGAUAAUAAAUUUGACUAUUCUUUUCAGUCAGUAUCAUCUAUUGACCCAAAACACACCCAUAAUGGUUUCUAUUACGAUUAGAUAUAAUAUCAAUGGUUUCUGUUAUAGUGUUUGAGCUAGCUAAGCAAAAUUGAAAGGAGCCCAUUCCUAAAAUUAUAAAAGUACACCUUAUCAGACUUGGGGAAGCUUAUAAGGGCAUCAUAUCCUUAUAAAGUGGGAGUAAUAUCCAUUGUGUCAAAAGUGAAGCAUUUGUAUUCAGGAUCCUAAAAUCUUAUUAGAGCUUGAAAGCAUGAUUAUUGGAUCUUGGUUUUGAGCAAUUGCACGAUGUCACCAUAUUGUUUCUCAAAAUUAGAUUGGUCUUGAGAAGAAAAUCUUUCCUAACAAUCUAAUAACUGACUCACACCCAGAGGUCUUUCAUCCAACUUCACAUGUUCAGGUAAUUAGGACUUGAAUCUAGUCAACAAGCAAUCCCUUACAUUCCAUUAACCCUACACUGACCUAACCUUCAUAUCCUUGGUGGUUAUAUGCUCCAUCAUCUCACAUUUUCUAUAAGGGUUAGUGGAGAUGUAAUAAGAGCACGAUAUAUAAAGUGAGAGCAUGCAUGUAAAUGACAUGUUAUUAAGUCAUGUCCUAAAGGGUCCGUUCUAUUAGAUAGUAUGAAACCCUAGAAAAUUUAUAAUUUAAAUAUACGGAUGUAUAACCUGCCAUGUAAACGUAAGACUGAAAGUGAUAUAUAAUGGAAGGGAUGACCUCCAUAAAAUGAAUUUUGUUUUAGAAUUCAUAAAGACAGAGAAACUGAUAACGUGUUUUGAUGGAUACAAUGAUGAGAGAAAUGACAAAAUAUUUCUAAGAAAUAAGUGAGGUAAUAAAUAAUACAUUAUAAUAAAGGAUAAUUUAAUGAAAAUGGCAGGACUGAAGGUGCAAACAUCAAUUAAAAAUCAGUGAUGUUACUUUAAAACGAUAAUAAUACCCGAUAAAUAAAUAUAGGUAGAAAUUUUAAGAUGAAUAUAUUCCAAAAUAAUAAAAUAACCUUAAAGGUUUAGAAGGAUAAUUGAUAUUAUUUUAUAUGAAGAUUGAACAAGAAAAUUUAGAUCAUUGAUGAAAAGUCAUAAAUUGAAGAAUUUUACAUUAGAAAGCAGAGCUCUCAAUCCAAUUGUCGGAUCAGAAUGAAUUUUUGCAUGAAGUCUAUUAAUAUGUUUUCCUACAUUGGUGAAAGAUCUCAUCCUAAUGGGAAUUUGGUAAAGACUAGCGAUUUAAGCAGAAAAAAGUCAGAUAGUUUACAUGAAAAAUAAAAUAAAAUACAUAAAUACAUAAAUGAGGAAAAUAAAUGUAAUGAGGGGAAAAUAUUCCUUUAAAACAGCAAAAGGCCACUAGUUCAAAAAAAAAAAGGGGGGGGGGGGUGAGAGACAAUAGAGAAUUCGGCUAGAAAGAAGUGCAGAAUUUGAAGGAACCAAUAAUUCUCCGGUAGCCAUAUCUCUAGAAUCCACCGUUGGAUCACAUUGAUUUAUGGAUAUAUUAUUCAUCUUACACUCCUCUACUAACUGACCAGAGGGAUUGGAAGGUAAUAACCCGUUUGACAAAAAUCAUCAUCGGACGUUUCCUGAAAAACAAAAGGAAAUACACUUACAAGGGAGUUUUGGUCGCUAGAUGAUUCUCUCUCUUCCACCGUUGGAUCAUGCAUAGUUUUGGAUAUGUGGUGCGAAUAAAUGUUGUCUUCAUUCUGGACGGUGGAGAUCGGAAACGCACUCUUCGACAAGGUGUCGUUUAUGUUGAACAGUAGCUCAUCCAUUUUCAGGUUAGUUCGGUUUUAUUCAGAUCUAUGGAGAGCCAACUGUUGGAUCAUUUUGAUUUUGAGAUACAUUGUACAAAGAUUAAUGAACUAUAUUCUGACCGUAGGGUUCAAGCAAAUAGUCAGAAGUGAAUGACUUAUUGCUUUUUGAAUCUAUUGCUAGUCUCAGUAAAAAUUUAGGAAGCUUGAUUUAAUUACAUGUUUUGAUGAAAUUAAAAUUGUGUGGGUGUAGGGUUUAUGUAAGAUGUAAUGGUAAAAUAUGUUCUUAUUAUUAGUGUUGUUAUAAAUUAAUUGUGUUGUAAAAUGAUGAGAAUUUGGAUCCUUUUAAAAUUCUUCCAAUUGACACUCUACCUAAUUUUCUUUAUAUACAUAAAUGCUUCCAUACCUAAUUUACAUAGAAAAUGAUUCCCUUUUUAAUUAUUCAAGAUAAACCUUUACCUAUUUAUUUCAUAUCUUUUCUAACCUCAUUCAACUCAAAUUCUAUAGCAAUUAAAACAAUUAAGCUCAUCCUCUCAUUUAUAUAUCUAGGCCGAAUCUUUGCAUUAAAUGAAGAAUACAAUUUUCUUCAAGUUUUCUUUCAAUUACCACUAGAUCCAAUCUUUUUUAAUGCCUAAAAACAUAUAUCCAUUAAAUCAACAAACUCAAUGUCCCUUCAUCCAAAUUUCAAAACUUCCCUAACACAUUUUACAACACAAUUAAUCUAUAACACUAAUAACAAUAACAUAUUUUACCAUUACAUCUUACAUAAACCUUACACCCAUACAAUUCUAAUUUUAUCAAAACAUGUAAUUAAAUCAAGCUUCCUAAAUUUGUACUAAGACUAACAAUAGAUUCAAAAAGCAAUAAGUCAUCCACCUCUGAUUAUUGGCUUGAACCCAACGGUAAAACUAUAGAUCAUUGAGUUGUGUACAAUAUAUCGCAAAAUCAGAAUGAUACAACGGUUGGAUCUCUACAGAUCUGAAUAAAACCAAACUAACCUGAAAAUGGACGAGCUACUGUUCAACAUGAACGAAACCUUGCUAACCAGUGUGUUUCCGAUCUCCACCGUUCAGAAUGAAGGCAACAUCUAGGCUCACAACAUAUCCAAUAAUAGGCAUGAUCCAACGGUGGAAGAGAGAUAAAUCGACCAAUGACCAAAACUUCCCUGCAGGUGUAUUUCCUUUUGUUUUCCAGGAAACUUCCGAUAAUGAUUUCUGUCACAGGAAUUAUGUGCCUUCAAAUCUAUCCAGUCAGUUAGUAGAGGCAUGUGAGAAGAACAAUAUAUCCAAACAUCAACGUGAUCCAACGGUGGAUUACAGAGAUAUGGCCACCGGAGCAUUAUUGGUUUCUUCAAAUUCUGCCUUCUCUCUAGUCGAAUUUUCUAUUGUCUCUCACCCCCUUUUUUUUUUUGAACUGGUGGCCUUUUGCUUUUUUAAAGGCACCUUUCCCCUAAUUACAUUUAUGUCCCUCAUUUAUGUAUUUAAGUAUUUUAUUUUAUUUUUCAUAUAAACUAUCCGGUUUGUUUCUGCUUAAAUCGCUAGUCUUUACCAAACUUCUAUUGGGAUGAGAUCUUUCAUCAAGGUAGGAAAAAAUAUUAAUAGACUUCAUGUAAAAUUUCAUCAUGAUCCGACGAUUGGAUUGAGAGCUCUGCUUUCUAAUGUAAAAUUGGUCAGUUCAUGACUUUUCGUCAACGAUCUAAAUUUUCUUGUUCUAUCUUCACAUAAAAUAAUAUCAAUUAUCCUUCUAAACCUUUAAGGUCAUUUUAUUAUUUUUGAAUAUAUUCAUUUUAAAAUUUCCAUCUUUAUUUAUUUAUUGAGUAUUAUUAUCGUUUCAAAGUAACGUCACUGAUUUUUAAUUGAUGCUUGCACCUUCCGUCCUGGCAUUUUCAUUGAAUUAUCCUUUAUUAUAAUGUAUUCUUUAUUACCUCAUUUAUUUCUUAGAAACAUUUUGUCAUUUCUGUCAUUAUUUUAUCUAUCAAAACACGUUACUAGUUUCUCUGUCUUUAUGAAUUCUAAAACAAAAUUUAUUUUAUGGAGGUCAUCCCCUCCAUUAUAUAUCACUUUCAGUCUUACAUUUACAUGACAAGUUAUACAUCCACAUAUUUAAAUUAUAAAUGUUCUAGGGUUUCACAUUCUUCCCUCUUUCAAGAAAUUUCAUCCUCGAAAGUUAGGAUUUCUACUUAUAUUUGCGAAUAUUAUUGGGUACUUCUUUCUCUUUUUCAUUUCUCCUUUUUGUAACAUGGAUAGAAGAAAUGCUUCUUAGAUUCUAUAUAAAAGUAUAGGCAAUUAAAUUCAAUAAACUAUUAGCCCAACUCUUGUGUUUGUCUCGAGGAAACCAUUUCACCUUAUUUUUCUACUAUUGAAGCAUAUCAUGCUCCCACUAAACACACCUUUUCUUUUACACAUCACUUUAUUUCUCAUGGUUACAUAGUAUUCCUAUAAUUACUUCCUAAAUUUAACAUAACUACAUCUCAAACAUCAUAUUUAUCUUAUCCAAUGAUUGUUCUUGUUAGUCACACUGUCAAUAACAUCUCCUUCUCAAACAAAAGUAUAAGUAACAUGUCAAUUAUCUUAAAUAUCAUCCACCCAACUAGUGAAGUAUUGUGUCAACCACCCGAGUCAUCCACCAUUCAGAUGACCUAGUCUCAAUUUCGUAACUUUAGCUUUUCAUAUUGUCAACUAAAUAUCUAUUUACUUGUUAGUAUUUGAUAUUGUGGCUAACUAAUGUAUUUAAUACUUUCAGGAUCCAUCAUUCAAGCCCAUUACGAUUAACAUGUAAUUCUUGUCAUUGUCGUAGUUUUCCAAUUUCAUGUUGCACUCCUUACAGUUUAACAACUAUGAUUUAUCUUAGCUAUUUAGUUUUUCAAUAUAGGAAUCCUCAUGGUUCCUAUAAUUUCAUACUUAACUACUUGUUCAUACCAUCAUAUUUUCACAUCCUAAUCCUAUUUAGAACCCACCAAGUAACACUCUAUAUCCAUAAUUACUCAACUUCUGUGCACAGACACUCAAAAUAUUAAGUAUUAACUCCUGAAUCAACGUUCAUUUACGUCUCAUUGUUAGUGCUUAUUAGUUCCCUUCAUUCCCUAAAUUCGUCUCUUUUCUAGUUUUCUUAUUAACUAUGUAUUUCUACAAUCACAUGUAUGUACAUUGCACACUCGUGACCUCCUCGACUACUCUUAUAGGUAGCUUGCCAAUUUAUUUAUUUAUUUAUUAUCUUGUACGACGGUAACUCAGUGUCUUACCGUUAGCCCAUAACAUUUCACAACAGGUAUUACAUCCAUGUUCAUGUUUUAACCAUUUACUCCUUUAUGUCUACAAAUAUAACCACGCUUAUGAUCCUUAAUUCAUUCUUGAUUUUUGGGUGGAUUCUUAUAAGGUAACUUAAUAAUGCUUUUCAUAACCAAUUUCCAAGUCUUUACCUCAUAUCUACGACGCCAGAAAUAAACUUGUAUUGUCCAUUUUGUUAUAUACCAAACUAGUAUUCCUAUGCAUGUCAAGAUAAAGUGAUCUAUCAUUGUUAUUGUUUGUUACUACCUUUUUUUUAUAUUUAUAUGUACACGUUAAUUUCUAUUUUCAGGUCCAUCAGGGUCGCGUCCGGAAUGAUAUUGGUUUAGUUACCUUUUGCUUUUGACCAUAUAAUUAUUUGUAAAUUAAGAGUCUUAUCUCCUAAAACUUGAAAUGUAAUAUUAAUCCGUAAAUUUGAAUGUAUGACUUUAAUCUAAUGUUUGUAAUUUUAAGUACCUAUUUAACCAAGCAUGUUUAGAGUUGAAAUCGAAUCUUUCACUUGAAUUACAUUAUAUGACGUUACUGAAUAACAUGUGUUGUGUUGAUGAUGAUGAGUUAGGUUAAGAUCCAGGAUGAUUGGAUCAGGAUGUGAAUUAAAAUUAAAAGUGUAAUAUGAUUUUGUCGAUAACUUGGAACCUCUUAGUAUAGAGGAGACUCUACCGAAAUUUUGGUACAAAUUUGGUGGAACUGGUAUAUCAAAAAACAAAUUACCUGAAAAUUUCCAAUGUAUCGCGAAAAAAAAUGUUGGAAAUCGAGGUUGUUACAGAUAGAAGAUAACUCAUAAGGGUUUAGGCUUGGUUUGUUUAUUUAUAGAGAUUUUUCAAGCUCUUAGAUCAUCCAAAUUACCAACGGAGUAAUCCAAUCCUCUAACCUUAUACACCCGGGUUAGAGAUAUAAUCCACAGAACCAGGUGUAUACGGUAGGUUCAAUCCGAGCAGAAGUUCAAGUGAGCAUCAAGGACAUAAACACCCGGGUUAGAGACAUAAGUCACUCUAGCCACUGAAUCUUCCUUUCUAACCUUAGAAGGGAUGAUCUGGAGUCCAAAGCUUUUAUGGGUUUUGCAGUAAUGUGUGUAAAACUCAUAUAAAUAACAUGCAUGCAUAUCCAAACCAACAUGUAUAAUAUAAAAAUUGAAUUAAAUGAAUUAAAAUAAACAAAUGUGAAUAAAAGCAUUAAAUAAUGAAUGCAAAUAAAAUAAUUAAUUGCUAAAAAAUAAAUAACAAUCAAGGACAUAAACACAUAAAAAUUGGCUUAACUCAAGUCCUUAAUGGAGUAAUUAUGUUGUCAUACCGUGAAGAGAAUCAACGAUGAAAUGGUUUUGGAAAAAUAAAGUAAUUUUUGGAGUCGCCACUUGGUAAUUAAGGAAAUUGGAGAUUUUAAAAUAUACAGUGGUUUAUUCAGAGAUCGGGUAUCGGGUUAGCUGUGCAUAAAGAAAGAUAGACAUUGCACUUACUACAUCCUUUCAAAUGAAAGGUUAUUGUUACUUAUGUUUUUUUUUUCUAAGUUAUUCUAUCUAAUAAAAUUCUGAGCUGAUUCGUUGUUUAUUUAUUUAAAUUUGACACUAGUCCUUAAAAAUAAAAUACUUGUCGAAAAUUAAUGAUAACCCCGAAAUUGAAGAUUUUAGUAAUUUUUUAAUAUUUUUUCUUGCAUUUAAAUAAGACUAUGCCUUUUUUUUUUUUCAAAAAUCAAUUGGGGUUAAAAUUUUCCUAAUUCAACUUUGGAAAAUAUGAUGAAGUUUUAUUUAAGUGUAAGAACAAAAUUAAAAAUCAACAAAGUCUCCCAUGGACAUUUUGAUUAUGUUUUUUUUAUCAUAUUUGGUAAUUUAAAAAAAGAGAAAUAUUUGCAGAAUUUUAUUUUUAAUCUUUUUUUUCAAAACUAGUAAUUAGUGACAAAACCCUAUAUGUUUUAAUUUUGAUAGUAAUAAUUGAUAAUUAAUAACUAAUAAUUAGGGUUUGCUAUUCCCAACUGUUGGGCCCCCCCCCCCCCCCCCCCCCCCCCUCAAGAGUAUGAAGUCACGACGAUAUUCUUGCUAAAGCAAUUAAUUGAUCCCUCCUCUCCUAUAAAGCAAACCCCACAAUUAAAAGUCCUUCGCUUUGGAGCUACCGCAAAGCAAAAAUGUCAAACAAGUCCCCAAUUUUUCCCAUGCCAGAACCUCAACACUUCAGCGACUAUGGCUUUGACCCACAAAUUGAUUACUUUCAGGUUUGUUUCAAUCUUUAUGAUCAGUCCUUUAUAUAUACUCUUAAUUAUUUGAUGUUUUGAAGUGACCCCAUUUUCUUUUUAAUUUUCAUAUAAAUAAGUUGUCGGAGGAAGCAAGAAAUCGCAAGAGAAAGACAAUAACAUCAAGGUUUUCCGUUGACUCCUUACACUUCAAGCUCCGAAAGCCCAUUUCAAAUGAAGAGUCUGCAAGUAGAAAGGUCCACAAAGCCAACAAGAAGAAGAAGAAAUGGUGGAGAAAUGCAAUGUUGUUCUUUAAGUGGAAGUGUAUCCACAGUAAUCACAAAGAUUACUAUCUUGAUCAUGAAGAAGAUGUGCAUGAAGCAAGGGCUAGAGCUUUCAGUGCUUCAAUCUCAGGAUCUGUUUAUUUAAUUGAUAGUUUAAGUGGGUCAAGUACUCCUUCCAGGUCCACUAGCAGACCGUCUUCAGGGCCUCUAGCUGGAACCUUGACUCCUGCAAGAAAAGGUGAUAUGGAGAUACCUUAUUUGAGCCUGAGGGAGCUUAACAUGGAGCAGCAACAGCAGAGGAGUUCUACUUCUGCUAAGCCAAUAUAUUUGGUCACUUAAAAUAAAACUUCCUCCAGUAUUGUAUUAUUGGGUCUGUUUAGUGACUAAUUACUUGUUGGGUCUUUUAGUUUUAUAUUCUUGUUGUCAUCUUUUCAGCAAGUGCAAACUGCAAAGGUGUUUGAUCCCUUUUCUUUUUCAUGAGUGUUUGUUGCUCCCCUCCCUUUAUUGAUUUCUGCAACUAAUGAAGAAACCCAGUUGUUUGACUAUUUAAAGCCUGUUUGUUUAAAGCUUCUCAGCUACUUUUUGCUUAAAAAGCAGUUUGAAAAGCUUAAACAAAACGGAAACGGGCACUACGGCCGGCAUGGUUUGGUAACAAAACGUGCUUUAAGUCAUCGUUUCCCUUUUGAAUUGUUGACACUUACACUUUUUCUGAGUUAACUCCUGUUUGUGUAUUAAUUGGUAUUUCUGAUCCCAAAGGUUUAGCACUGCGCUGAGACUCUCUCGUGAUUAAGUGCUAUUUCAUUGACUGCUGCCAUCUUGUGAAUGAUGCUGAGAGACCUCAGUGAUGGAUCUUGACUCUUUGUAUUAUCUUGUGAAUGUUACACCAUCCCAUUUCACGGGGAGGAUUGAAAAAGAGAAAAAAACAAAGAUUGCUGGGUAUGGUUUUUACAAUGUCCAUUCCACUUUGGAUUGUGAUUUUUGAAUUAAGCCAUAGCAUUUUGGCUUCCCGGUAGAAUGAAUAUUGGCGCAAGCUCAUGUUUGCUUGCGGUGGACAGAGAUUCAGCUGGAGUAGUCUACGUACUAUGUGCCUGUUGAGUGUGGGGACCUAAAGAACCCCCCCCAUCAUGUGGAGAAGAGAGCUGAUAAAACGGCUAGUAUUAAAUCCCGAGCCACAUUUUCUAGUAUGAACAAACAUAAAAAUACCAAGAAAAAUCUCAUAGCACAAGCCACAGUUGUCAGUAUGGAGAAUGUAUUGAGUCAACUUGGGGUGCGGCAAACUUGAGUAAAUUAUUUUUAUCAAAAUAAUAUAUAUGUUUUUAAUUUUUUUAAAGCUGAUUUGAUAAGGUUUGGAUUGGUUAAUUUCGAGGGGUUAACAUGCCUAAUCUAGUCAGGUUUAAUAAUUAAGAUACAAAUAAACUUAUUUAUUUUCGUAAGUUUAAAUCUUAGAUGUGAUUGGUGAACGGUCGGCAUCAUCACAUCGCGAAGAACACAUGCACAAAGGUCCAAAACAAGAAGCGGCGGCAAAAUCCUCCAUGUGCUUCCGUUUCAAUCAAGCACCCCUCCUCCUCCCCUCCCCUCCCCAGUGUUCUCUUUGACCUUGUCCUUUUCCCCCAGCAACGUGCCUUUGUCAGUUGGAAUUUGGGAUGAACCAUUAAUUUAUUAAGGUCAAUAUGUUUAUGUUAUUGGAGUUGCGUUUUUAUAUGGAUUUUAAUGAGCAUUUUAUCUUAAAUUUUAAUUAAAAAACUAUAUUUUAUAUAUAUUUUUUCAAAUCAUAAACACAAAAACUACUUCAAUAUUUGUCAUUAGAUUUUAAAAUUUAUUCUUUGACGAACUUAUUACUCAUAAUCUAUAAUCCAAAUAUUUCUUUUUAACCCUUUUGGAUUUGAAUUAGAAUGUUGAUAUUGAAAUUAUAGAAGGCAAACCGUUUGCUCUUUUUUUCUCCUUUUAAUUGGACAAAUUAAUUAUUAUUUUUGAAGCCUACAGAUUGUAGUACAUAAUAUUUGUCAUUUUCAUUAUGUAACCCACCUCACUCCAGUGAGUUUAUUGACUAAAUUAGUUAAUAUUCUAUUUUGUCUAUUUCUAAAAGAUAUAAAUAAAUAAAAAAUUACGUUAUCAAUACCAUAAGAAAUGCUUAAUUUUAGAGAGGUUCUUUUUGGAAUUUUUGUCCUGGACUGUUAGUGUUAUUUCUAAAUUGAUGAAUCAAGUUUUGAACUAUCAGUUUUUUAAGGUAAAUAUUAUAUUUUAUAUCAAUUUGGUUGAGGAGUUGGGUGAAUAUUGAAACUUUGAAUAAUGACUAGAAACUUUUUUAAAGAAUAAAAAAUCAUUUUUUUGUGUGUUUUAAGAUGAAAAUUCUUAUAGAUGCUAAUAAAAAUCAAAAUUCACUUUUGAAAAUAAAUUUGCAAUUUUUUCAAAGUAAAAAGUAAAUGCUAAUUAUAAUAUAGGGUUAAAAUACAUCAAUAACAUGUAUUCAUACAUUUAGAUUUUAGGGUUAUUUCGACUGCUCAAACAUCUUUUGAUCAAAUCAUGACUUUUGAAUGUUAAUACAAAAAAAUAGAUGCUUGAUUCUUGAUCUAUGCAUGAUUACGAACAAAAUCUUAUCAUUGAUUGCAUGGAAACUUGUCUGGUUUAUGAUUUGUGUUUGCUGGGUUUCAAUUUGAAUGUUCAUCAUGUUCUUGGUGUUUGAUUUAAUUUUGUCAAAAAUAUUUUGUGUUUUUGUGUUUUUUUUAGUUUUGAUCUGUUUUUGGUUUAAUUGUUUGUUUUGCUUUAUUUUCGGGUCAAACCAUGAUUUUCGAUUCGGUUCAGGGUUGAGCCGGUGUUUUCGAGUCUACCUAAUUAGUUUUGUUUUGGGUCAGGUAUUAAGACUUUGUUUGGUUGGUUAUCUUUUUUGUUGAGGAAUUUUUGGUCUAAGGGGUUGUUUGACAAACAUAUCCAUAGGCCUAUUUUGACAAUUUUGUUUUGAAUAAAAAAAAGUUUUUUUUGCCAAAUAAGUCCCAAAUAAAUUUCUAAAAAUUCUAAAAAAUUUCUAGGAUCAAUUUAAAAUAAUAUGUGGGUCCCUCGCAUAUUUUUCCAACAAUUUUAUUUAAUAUCAGGGUCGUAGACUUACACUUUAAGAUGUUGAACUCAUAUUAAAAUUCUCGCUUUCGUUGAAAUCUCGAAAAUAUCCAAAAUUUAUGAAAAAAAUUCUCAUUUCAAAAAUACAAAAAUAUAUUUUAUUUGGUGUGCAUUCAGUCAAAUCUCUCAAAAGAUAAAAGUCAUAUUUUGCUUAAACAAAUAUAAAAACAUAUGGUAUGAUUUAGCAUUUUUUAUAUAUACACAAAAACUCAAAAAAAAUAUCUAUGUAUAUAUUUUUGGAUUUAAUAACCAAUUUAUUGAACACGAGAGAACUUGUCCGAUAUUUCAAUAACUCCUAAAAAUUUUAAUUCAUGAUAAUUAAUGGUCAAUAUUCUGAUAUAAAUGUUGAACUUACAAGUAGGCUGACAUUUAAAUACUAGAAGUUGACUUGAAAAUUUCCAAAAUUAUUUCGGAUAUUCACCAAUUUUAAUUGAAACUAUUUUUCACCACAACAUACGAAUUGUGAAAAACAUUUUUGCCUUCUAGGAUAGGUGAACUCUAUCAAGGCACCUAUAUGAAUUCUUCAUACAAAAUUUAUUUAAGCAUACGAGCCCAUAAUGAAUUCGAAACGCCAGAUUUAUUUAUGAGAAUAAAUCUUUAUUCUAAGCCAUAGACGUACCAUUAGUUAAGAACCCAUUAAUACCUUUAAGCCACAUUUAGACCACGUAAUGCAGUUUACCUCAAGUAAAGGGUGUAAAUACAUUCUCUAGCCAUAACCAGUCCCUCAUCCUAGAAUUUCAUAUAAGACAAGUCCACUCGGGUCUUUUAGUGACCUUAAACCAAAUAGCUAGGUGGCGACUCCUUGAUCCUGAUGUCACAAUGCCGCAUGCACACGUGCGAUAGAAUGAUGACUCCACUAGACACUAUCUGUUUUUAACAAUUUUGGACUAGGCUUUGUGUCUUUUAAGUGGUUUAUGUGAUUUGAUUUGUUUAAAUUUUUGCAUUUGGCUUAUUCCUUUUUUUACUUAUUUAUGCUUUAGCAUGUUUUAUUCUACUUAUGCAUACAUGUUGGAUAUUGAUGAAUGUCUUAAUGCAUCACUAGUUUAUUUGUGAUAUAUCACUUUGGAAUGUACACAUAUAAAAACUUUAGGUUAGGUGAGGGAGUAGCAGCAUACCCUAUGACUUUCAUUCAGGGUUUAAGUUCGUGAAACCAUCUGAAUCUUUAUUGAGUGCUUGGACUAUUAGUGAUUGGUAUAUGUACCAUCCCACUAUAUAUUGAACCUCUAUAUUACCUUCACGAGAGUAAUCAUUGGUACAAUAAUAGACCCUUUUGAGAUUAGAUAGUGCCUACCUCAAUGUCUCUCGUAAAAGGACAUAGAACCUACCUUUAUGAUGUAUGUUCCACAAAUAAAUAGUGUUGUAUUAAUACUUGCUUAACCUUAAAAAACAUCUUGAAUUGUAGGAUAUAAGGCUGAUAACAUGGUUGCUAUUAAAGAGAUGACCUAUAUUGAAUACGGGUUAGAUUCUGAAUCCCUACAACUAUUAAAAGAGGAUUGCCUGAGACUAGAUGAUAGUAAAUUGCCACUAUAAAAAAUGUGAGUUGCUCCGAAAACAACUUGAAAAAGCUCAUCUCACACAUGAAAAGCAUCCGUGAAAAUGAGUUUUUGAAGAAAUAUGGGAGGAUAGUGGAAAUCACAAAAGUGUCCAUGCAUAAUUCAACAAUUAAAGCCUUGAUGCAUUUUUAAGACCCCGAAUACUGAUAUGCUUCACUUUUGGGAAUACAAACAUGUGCCCUACUUUGGAAGAGUAUGGUUUAUUAACUGAAUUCCCUCGAAAUCUAUACAAAGUCUACUUCCACCAAAGACACAACAAAGUGCUAACUAAAUUGGUUGAAUUGAUUAGAUUUUCGAGUCUCCAUAAGAUAUUGGAGAAAAGUGUUACUGACCUAAAGUGGAAGAUGAUUGAAGAGGUAUUCAAAAUGAGGAAGAAUGACUCUAGAUUUGUUGAAGAAAAUGGUAGAAUACUUGUUUUAGGAAUCUUUAGAUUGGUGUUAUUUCCAAACCUCAUUAGAAUAAUAUGUUUAGAGGUGGUUGCAACUUUUAUUGCAUAUAAAAACACUCAGAUAAAUCUCAUUACGAUGAUACUAGUGAAAACUAUCUUGACGCUCAUCCAUUAUGAACAAUUAUUGUACAUAUGGUUGAUUAGCCAUAUAGAAACCAAGAAGCUGGUAUUUAACAACUUCUGGUGGUUUAGUAAAAAUCCAUUGAAGAUAGUUAAAGAAGAGGAGUGGAAGGACUUGAGCGAAAAAAACUAGAAAGUAAAAUUGCAAGGAAUCCCACAAGGAUAAGUGUAGUGGAAAGCCCCUUGGAUGAGAGCAAAAAAUUGCUUGAUGAGUUGUGGGUGAAGAUGAUGGGUGCCUCUGAUUGGAGUGACUGGAUAUGUCAGUUACGUACCUACUUUGAUUGUAAUGCAACUUGGAGGCAUACAACAUAUGCCAAAAACGACCGGGUUAUCCCAAUUCUUCGAAUUAUUCAAGGACCAAUCUGCUUUGGAAGUUUUAAAGAACAUCAAGUAAGAUUGAAAGCUUCUGAUAUUGGUCAAGAAGGAAUUAGAUGGUUUGAGAGAUUUAAUUACUAGUGAAAAGUAUCUAAAGUGGAUAAAUUUAUCACUAGUCUUCAUCCCCAUGACUCUUUAAUUUGAAGUCAAGACUUCGUAAGUUGUUAACCAACUAAAAGAAAGAAGAUUAGCAACGAGGAAGAUUUGAGAGAACAACUGGAAAAGAUCUGAAUAGAGGUGUAUACUAGUAAAGCCCUUAGGAUAUCCCUCAAGGAACAACUCCUCAUUGAAGAUAAAUUAAGAAAGCUUGUAGAGCAACAGCUGGAUGAAAAAACACAAGAAGAUCAUGUCCUUAGAGAAGCAACUAAAAGAAAAAAAAGGCGGCUAGAAACCAAGCUGAGAAAGAGCAAGAAGAAUUGGGAACACAUUGGAUGCAAACUAAUACUAAACUAGAGGUUUUCAAAACCAAUUUCAAUGAUUGACAAGAAAUGGUUGAUAUGUCUUCAAGGACCCAAGUUGAGUUAAAAAGCCCGAAUUGAGCAGUAUGAAAGGCUAUACAAGAAACAUGUAAUGCUGGAAAGCGAGCUAGUUGAAGCAAAAGCCAAAAAAAGGUUGUUAGGGUCUUCAAAACUGAUUUGGAUAAUAUAAGAGAUGAGAUCAUCCUACUAGAUAAAAAGUGUUGUAACCUAAUUUUGGCCCAUUGGCUUUUAAUUUAAUGUUAAGAGGUUAAAAUUUGAAAUUGAAAAGAUUAGGGGUUUAAAUGCGAAAUCUGGAAACUACAAGGACCAAAUUGACAAAUGGUUAAUUUCGGUCCAAAACGGCACCGUUUCAGCCAUGCACAGUUUCUUCUUCUUCUUCCUCUGGUGCUGCAAACCCACCUGCAAGGAAGAGAAAGAAGGCGAAAUGCUAACAUCCUAAUCCUGUUAAAACACGAAGACUAAUCCUUAUCCUCAUAAAGAUCAAUGCCCCGGGGAGAUAAGGAUCGAGCCGGUAUCCCGAGUCCCAAUGAAACACAACGCGUCCCUCCCAGCCAUGUUUAUCCAAAGACAAGACGUGCACGAAGAGAAGACCAGGCACUUCCCCUAUAAAUAUAGAGCUCUGAGGAAGAGGGGAAAAUAGAAGAAAAAAAACAAAGGAGAAAAACAGGAGGAGAAGAAGCUAGAAAACAUAAAAAAGCAUAGGAGAGUAGAGAGCAAGAAAAAAACAAGGGGGAUCACAGAGAGAAAAACAGAGAAGAAGAGAACACACAGAGGCAGGGAAUAUUGGGUUAGUCGUUGUGCGGUGGCCAUCCCUUCGCGCUCGUUCAUCUCCAGAGCAAUCUCCAGCAAGGUAAGCUUUCUUCUCCCUUUUUAUUCGUUUUGAAUCUUCAGUGCAUUUAGCAAUGUGCGAAGGUAAUUAAUUACCUUCACACUGUGCCAUGCACGCGUGAACAAGUUCACGCGUGCUUUGCCCAGCUGGGUCACUGGCUUGGGCUAGUGACCAGGCUGGGUUCAGCCCAGCCCAUACCGGUUGGGCUGGACCAGCCCAAAAAAUAAAAUCAAAAUCAAAAUAAAAAAAAUGAAUUCGGCCUGGGCUUUAAGCCCAGCCGGCCCAACUUAUGUUGCUAAGGGUGUAUUUGGCAAAAACAUACCCUUAUGCCUUGGUCAUAAUUUUAUGGCCAUUCUAGUUAAUAUUUGGCCAAACAAGCCCCUUUUUUAUAUCAAAAAAUUCUAAAAAUAUUUUGGGAUCUUCGUUGUUUUAUUUGUGAUCCCCUCGCAUUUUGUUUUAAUUUUUUUCUUUAUGUUUUGUAUUUUUUUAGUCAUAUGCUCAAUGUGUGGACCAGCACUGUUAAACACAAAAUUUGUUGUGCAAUGUCCCUGUUAUUUCCUUCGAAUAAGGGCAAAUGAUAAUAAAGGUUAAACAAGAAAAAAAUGGUAUAGAAAAUUUCUUCUUCAAAUUCAUUUUUUGCGAAAUUAUUCACUGACGCUAGAGUCAGGAAUAUUGUAUUUUUUGGAUUUGUGCGAUAUUUACCAACGUCAGAUUUGGAAAUAUUCGUAGGAAUUGUUCACUAACGCCAGAGUCAGGAACAUGAAAAGAAGAAUAAAAAGGAGAACAAAUUAUUAGCAAUUUUAGACAAAACCAACAAUGCAGCCUACCUCAGGUAGGAUGCUUAAGGGGUGAUAUCAUCUUCCCUUUUGCAUAACCAGUCCCGUACUAUAGAAUCUUUGUUGACUAGUUAGGGUUUCUAGUGACCAUAAUACUAGGUGGCGACUCCUUGAAACAAUACAUUUCCCCCCUAAAAGAACAAGAUGCCAAAAAUCUGUUCUUUUUUCCAUAGAGAUUUAUAUUUUUUUAAUCGAUCGCCGCGAUAUCCGGGUGUGACAAAAAGCUCGAGAAAGAAAAGGCCAAGACAAAACAUUUGGAAGAAAAGAACGGAUUGUUCGAGUGCCACAACCAGAUAAUUAACACCAACAAUAAUCAACUGAAUAGGAACAACAUAUUCCUCUCUGAGAAUAUGAGAAACAUGGAUGAGAAGAUUGAUUAAGCCUCUGUCUAUGCUCGAAGAAUCUGCUAUAAUGCCCAGCAAGUUGGAAAAGAUGUCCAUUGAUAUCAACAAAGCAUGGCUGAGACUAAUGCCUUUUUUAGGGACAUAGAAAACAAAGACUUUGCCUUUCUCCAUGUAUAUAAUGAUGAUGAGUAGACUAGCUUUCAAAUGUAAUUUUUUUGUUGUUAAAUAUUAAUGAAAAGGGCUUAGACCCAUCCUUUUGAGCAAUACAUUUUUGUAAUGAGUGUAUUUUUUAUCAAGCAUUAACAUAUAUUAAAUUGUCUCAAUAGCUACAAAAGGAUCGGAACCCUACCCAUUUAUAAAGGAAUGAUGACCAUAUAUCAGCCCAGGGUAUAGCUAAUCCAUAUCCAAUAUAUAUCAUCAUGCAUCCAUAUGCAUUUACAUUUAUGAAUUAUGGAAUGUCUAUGACAGGUAUUCGAAAUAUAGGUCCCCUUGCCAGAGUCUAUAAUACUAAGCUUCACAAAAGGAUGGAAAACAAAGAGAUGGCUCACCUUAAGACUCAAUAUCAAAAGGAACUAGAAGACACUAAGAACAAUAUGACUCAAAUGGCUAGCUUACUUGAGCAACUCCUGUGAGCACAAUUUAGAAAAGGGACAUCCAGUCAGCAAUCAACCAUGUUACUGCCACCAACAACUCCUAUUAUUCUCGACUCACAAAACUUGGGGGCAAGUUCUAGUUUGCUUCUUCGUUCUCCUCCUGCUGUCUUUGCUGGAGAGUUAGAGCAUGUUCGGCACGACGGUGCAAAACCAUGCCUUAAAACAAUGUCUAUGUAUGUAUUUGUUUGUGUAAGAGCUUGCAUUUUCUCAAGCAUCAUCCUAGCGAGUCAAUGAGCUGGUCCUUGUAAUUUUCAUAUGCCCUCAGAUCAACUGCAUUGUUUGCUCAAAGCAUAAUGCACGCUAUGAUAUUAAUGAAAAAAGCUUAGACCCAACCUUUUGAGCAAUAUAUUUUUAUAAUAAAUGUGUUUUUUUAUUAAGCAUUGACUUAUAUUAAAUUGUCUUAAUAGCUACAAAAGGAUCAGAAUCCUACCCGUUUAUAAAGGAAUGAUGGCCAUAUAUCAGCCCAGGGUAUAGCUAAUCUAUAUCCAACAUACAUCAUCAUGCAUCCAUAUGCAUUUACAUUUAUGAAUUAUGGAAUAUGCAUGAUAGGUAUUUGAAAUUUAGGUCCUCUUGGUAGAGUCUACAAUACUAGGCUUCACAAAAGGAUGGAAAACAAAGAGAGGGCUCACCUUAAAACCCACUACCAAAAGGAAUUAGAAGACACUAAGAACAAUAUGACUUAGAUGGCUAGCUUACUUAAGCAACUCUUGCGAGCACAAUCUAGGAAAGGGACAUCUAGUCAACAACCAACCAUGUUACCGCCACUAACAACUCCUGUUAUCCUCGACUACCAAAACUUAGGGGCAAAUCUUGCUACUAGACCAUAAGGAACAACAAGCAUUUCGAUGACUUGCCCGAUUAUGCAUGCUCAAGUACUGACCAUAAUAGAUCUAACAAUGGAGGGAUCUCAUGGGGUUGAAUCCUUCGAUCAUCUUGAACAAGAUAAAUAGGCUGUUAGGGAUGAAAGAUUGAGGGAUUUUAAUGUCCAUGACCCGAUUAGAGCAAUUGAGAUAUGCUUAGUGCUAGAUGUAGUGGUGUCCAAAAAGUUUAGGGUGCCAAAAUUUGUCAAGUAUACGGGACUGGAAUGCCCUAAUACGCACUGAGGUCUUACUGCAACAAAAUGACAAAAGUCAUACGCAAUGAAAAGUUGCUCAUUUAUUUCUUCCAAGACAGCCUGAUCGGUUCUAUGUUAAGCUGGUACAUGACCUUGGAUAAUACAAAGGCCAAGAAAUGGAGUGAUCUUAUUAAUGCUUUCUUGAAACAAUACAAGUUCAAUAUUGACAUUGUUCCAAACUGGAUGAGCUUGAUGGUGAUGGAGAAGAGCAACAAGGAAACUGUAAUGGAGUACACUCACAAGUAAAAAAACAAGGCAAUGCAUGUACAACCAUCUUUGUUGGAGAAAUAAACGGUGACUCUAUUCGCCAAUACUUCAAGUCCCUAUAUUAUAAGCAUCUAAUAGGUAGCUACGCCCAAUAUUUUUAUGAUGUUGUUAUUAUUGCUAAGAGAAUAAAAUAAAUGAUAAAAUCUGAUUUUAUGAUAUUGGAUAUUUUUAUGAUGUUGUUAUUAUUGCUAAGAGAACCUACAAAGAAAAAAAGGGUUUACUAGGAAGAAUAAAGGAUGUUGAAGUCAGCAAUGUUGAAGAAGGGUAUAAAGGUAAGAAGAAUUACCAAACCUAAAGUUACCAGACCUCGACUUCUCAAAUAUCCAAUAUUAACUUUGCUAAGUCUCUUUCGGUAAACCAGCCCACUAGAAAACCAAGAAAAAAACAAUUCAAUGAGAGCCUACCAAAAAAACCAAGAGCAACUAUUGCCUCUACCUAUACCCUUAGGAGAAAUGUAUGCAAAACUGCUAAGCAUAUGUCAUAUGGCUCCUCUUCUAUUUUCACCACUAAAGCAUCUCUUCCCAAAUUGGUAAAAACCAGACCUAACUUGCGAGUAUCAUGCCGGAAACCUUGACAACAAUAUUGAUACUUGCUCAACAUUCAAGAGGAAGCUCUUGCAGUUAUUCAAAGUAGGAUGGAUAACCUUUGAAGUUACCUCCAACAUCAAUUCCAACCUCCUACUUAAUCAUGCUUCCAGUAGUGGGGGGUAAAUAGUGUGGAGUUUGAAAAAAAAAAGAGAAGGUUUUAAGGGUAACCAUGGAUAUGUUGUAUGACAUGUUAGUACAAGUUGAGUAUUUGCCAACAGAAAAUGAAUCAGGUUCAAGAAAAAGCGAUAGCUUUUGUAGGUUUUACAAAUCAAUGAGACAUAACAUCGAUGAAUAUGAAGAGUUUCACCAAAAAGUGAUACAAAUGAUGACUUGUGAUCUAUUACAAAUAGAGAUAGAGAAAAAAGGAUGAUGUUCUAGGCAUGAUAAGUUUCUAAAAGAAAGCAGAGAUGUGCAGGCUUCAACAUACUGAGAGUGGUCUAUCAAAGCUCGUCUUGACAAGGCAUGCCAUUACCUAUAAUGGGAACUACAAAGCAUUGCCUUAUAAUUAUAGAAAUUCUCCUAAUAUUGAGAGUCCUGCUUCUAUAUUUCAGACCAAGAUUGAUGGAUUAACUCGAAGUGACAGGUGUUUUAUGCAUCAAUAACUAGAAAGGCAAUGAAAAGCCAAGGGCAAAGAGGUUGUAGAUGUCAUCAAAGAUAUAUAAAUAAACAAACUCGUGAGUGAUUAAGAAGCUGGAGAAUUCCUAAAGCUCACAGUGAGUAUAGUGUGGUAGAGUAGCUGAAGAAAAACCCUGUCAGAAUAUUCCUGAUAUCUCUUAUCUUGAGUUCCAACUCCCACCGCAAUGCACUGCAAAAAGUCUUGAACGAGGCAUAUAUGCCCCAACACAUGGCCUAAAAGACUAAAGUUAUAUAUGAUUCACACAUUAAAAAUUUAAAUUUAAAUUUUCUUAUUAAAUAAAAAUUAAACACAAUUUUUUUAUAAAGUUUUUAUUUAAGUAAAAAUUAUUUCUAACCAAAUUUAUUUAUAAUUGUUUUUUCAUGUUAAGAAUAAAAAAACAACUUAAAUUAAUUUGCAAAUAUCACAUUAAACAUAACAUUAAAUUAGAAAGUGACACACAUCAAAGCUUUAAUAGGGUUGAGUCAAAGUGGUAAAAACUAAUAUUUGCCAACAACAUAUUAGAGCAUGCAAACCAAUGAUGUUCUCUUUUUUUAUUCCAUGUUACAUGGUGUUCCACUAGCAUGGUUGUUCACGUGCUGCUACCAUUAAAUUUUUUAUAUUGUUAUUAAACCUGGUUUAGUUUGAUAGGUAAUUAUGGUAAUUUAUUGACCUAGCCUUUAGAUCUAACUAAGUUUUAAAUAAAACCGAGUGAAAAUUAGCCUGAUGUGAUCCAAUUAACUUGAAAAAUCCACACACAACUUAGUCAACCAGGUUAAAAUAUAAUUUGACUUUAAACACAAUCACAAGAAGAUAUUGUUUUAAUGUUUUUUUUAAUAUUAAAUCAAUGAUAUUUUAUAUUAACCCGAAUCAAUCUGUCCAACUCAUGCCCCAAGUCAUGGGCUCGGACAAGUUUAAUAAUUAAAAAAAAAUUCAAUUUUUAUUUAAUCAUACAAUAAAAAAAUUAAUAUUUGCAAGAAAGAAAAAUAAAAUUAUGAAUGAGAAAUAUAUUUUUUUUCAUCAAAUUGUCUUUUUUUCAUCAAAUUCAUGUGAUUUUUUUUUGUUUUGAUAAUUAAAUGAUUUUUUUUAUUAGCAGUAUAGUUUAUUGAAUAAAAAUCAACAACAAUAAAAAAUUAUUAAAAAAACUACAUCUAUUUGAACUAAAAAUAUAUAUUUUUAAUUGAAAACCUAAUUUUUCUAUUCACACAAAUUUUUGUUUGUUCAGAAACAUUGUUUCUUAAAUAUAAAUUAUUAUGAUCAUUAAAGUGAAUUUUAAUUAAAAAAAUUAUGACUCAAUUAUUUUUACAUACCUAUAUGCAAAAACUAUAAGAACAAUAAAUUUAAGAAAAUAAUAUAAAAAACUCACAACAAAGAAUUAAAAAACAUUUUAUUCUUAUUCAAUAUUAUUUGAAAAAUUAUGCAUAUAAAGCUAAUACAUAAUUAUCCAUAAAACAAUCAAUAAUACCAUUAUAAAAAUACCCAAAUCUUAAAAAUAAUGACAUAAUCAGUCAAUCACUUAAAUAUUAUUUUAAUAAAAAAAUUAUAUAAAAAAAGACUAUUUAUGCACAUGGUCAAAAUUUAAAAGUUUGCCUUUGUAUAUGGAUGAAUUAAAAGUCUAAUUAUUAUUUUUACAUUAAGUCGUUUUCUUUGUUAUAUAUAUAUAUAUAUAUAUAUAUAUAUAUAUAUAUAUAUAUAUGUAUUAUCUUGUUUUGAUUAUUAAAUUGCAUUGGAAUAAUAUAAUGCUUUUCAUUAUUGUGCCACUUCAGAAAAUGACUUUUCCAUUCUAUGUAUUUUUUACGGGUAUAUAUUGUCAGGGAUAUUAAACUUUUCUAUUAAGUUUAUGCUUACUAAAUAGCAAGUAAAAAAAAAAACUCAAAUUAUGAAAUAUAAAUCUUAUAACAACACUUAAUGAGAUCAUUAUUAUAAAAUGUAAAUCUUAGAACACUUAAUAAGAUAAUUAUAAUUAUAAGCAAAGUAUACAUCUAGUAUUAAAAAGAGUUAGUUUGAAAAUCGAUCAUUCAUUUCAUUCAAUCCUAUUUUAUUUUGGUAAUAGAAAAAAAUCAAGCAAAAUAUGUUGCUUCUAUUUAUUCGUAAGCAUGUAAUUUAUUUAUUUUUAUAAUUUAUUACAAAAAUCUAUUGAUACAUAAAUGACAUGAAUUUGAAAAAAAAAACAUAAGUUUUUCUAUAUAUAAAAAAUGAGACAAGGUUUUAUUAGUCACAGAAAAAUAUAAUCUUUCUUCUAAAGAGAGGGAGUCUAGUCGUUAAAACGAGAGGGUAAUAUUUUUUAAUUUCUUUUACUAUGAAAAAGUUAAUUCUACUAAUUUUAAAGUGGAAACCAUAUUCAAUUAGAGUUGACUAAUUGAAUCCUUUUUUUAUACGAAACAAAAUCUCUUUGCCGUCAUCAGAUCUUAGAAGAUAAGCAAAUGAUAUAAAAUUAAAAUACUAUCAAUAAUUAAUGCAAAGAUGGUAUACUGUCAGCUAAGAGCCAGUGCUGGAUGCAGGACUUGGCGGUGGGGGUUUACUUUUCUUUGGAAUGGUAGAGACGUGUACUUAAAUAUAUUAAUCUCAGAAAUAUAAAAAUAACAACAAAAAACUCCAUUUUCUUGCACUAUAAGAAUCUCAGAAAUCAAGAACAGAACUUUUAACGCACAGACAAAAACCAUGGACUCCAUAGAACACAGAACCAUUCAUGCUAAUGGCAUUACCAUGCAUGUAGCAAUCAAAGGCUCAGAGAAUGCUCCGGUUAUUCUAUUUCUCCAUGGAUUCCCCGAAUCAUGGUACUCCUGGAGAUACCAGAUUUUAGCUCUAUCCUCACUUGGCUAUAGAUCUGUGGCACCUGACUUGAGAGGGUAUGGUGACACAGACGCCCCAGCUGAGAUUACAAGCUACACAUGCUUCCAUUUGGUUGGUGAUUUAAUUGGGUUGCUUGAUGUUGUGGCACCGAAUGAAGAUAAAGUUUUUGUUGUGGCACAUGAUUGGGGUGCUAUAAUAGCUUGGUAUAUGUGUUUGUUUAGACCAGAUAGAGUUAAAGCUCUGGUUAAUACCAGUGUUUUGUUUAUUCCGAGGAAUCCUAAGAGGAAAUUUGUUGAGACUUUGAGGGCUCUUUAUGGUGAUGAUUACUACAUGUGCAGAUUUCAGGUUUUUUCUUUGAUCAGUUCAUUUUAUUUUAUGAUUUCAAUCAUGGGUUCUUUGUGUUUUGCUUGAAGUUGCUUUCUUGUUCAAUUAGUGUGAGAAUGGAAGAUUUUGUUAUGCACAGCGCUUUAUGAUACGAAAGAAAUACUUAAUAAAAUUGCUAAAAAAAUUUAGAAAGAAAUACUUAAUAAAAAUAUACAUCUCUCCCAGUAUUUCCUGAUGAGUUUUUUUUUUCUUUGCAUUACCGUUUUUAUCUUAUACCACACUUUUCAUUCUUCCAACACAAACUGCUUGAUUGUCUUUGCAGGAGCCUGGAGUGAUUGAAGCAGAGUAUGCAGAGAGAGGCACGGAGAGAGUUCUGAAGGAAUUGUUAACGCACCGAGUUGCAGGACCUCUUUUUUUACCUAAAGGUAAAGGUUUAAAUGGAGCCCCGCUGGAUGCUCCAAUUGUCUUGCCCUCUUGGUUGUCUGAGGAAGAUUUCAAGUACUACACCAACAAAUUUGAGCAGAAAGGCUUUACUGGAGGAUUAAACUAUUAUCGGAAUCUGGAUAGGUGUGUUUCCCUUCCAAGUGUUAUUUAAUGCAUUGAGAUUUCUCAGCAACGCCGAUUUUACCGUGGAAAAUCUCCAGUAGUCUGGUGCUGUUUCAGUAUUUCAAUUCUGUUUGGUUACUUCCAUGGCAGUAUUGCACAUUGAUUGGGACAAGGGGCCUUGUAUAUUUACUUGAGAUGCUAUUAGAGAUUACCUUUCCUUGCAUUGAAUUGAAGUUCUUAUUUCCAUGCCGCUAUUGUUUAUUGAUCGGGACAAGGGCCUUGUUUCAGUAUGUCAGCUGGCGUUUGAGAUGGGGACGUCUGCUUUUUUGUUUCUGAUCUGAUCUUUUAACAGAUUUAAUCUCAUCUUGUUCCCUUUUUUCCCAUGAUUGUUCUUGCUUCAUUUUUCCUUUUUCUAAAUCCUUUUCCAUCCCGCAUUGCAGGAACUGGGAGCUCACAGCACCAUGGACAGGGGCUCAAGUGACAGUACCUGUCAAGUUUAUUAUUGGUGAUGAGGACCUGACCUAUAAUUCUCUUGGUGGGAAGGAUUAUAUAGACUCAGGCGGGUUCAAGAGAGACGUUCCAUUUUUAGAGGAACUAGUCGUAAUGGAAGGAGUAGGGCAUUUCCUCAAUCAAGAGAAGGCGGAUGAGAUCAAUAAGCACAUUUAUGAUUUCUUUCAAAAGUUCUAGUUUGCUUCUUCGUUCUCCUCCUGCUGUCUUUUCUGGAGAGUUAGAGCAUGUUCGGCACAGCGGUGCAAAACCAUGCCUUAAAACAAUGUCUAUGUAUGCAUUUGUUUGUGUAAGAGCUUGCAUUUUAUCAAGCAUCAUCCUGGCGAGUCAAGGAACUGGUCCUUGUAAUUUUCAUAUGCCCUCAAAUCAAAUCCUGCAUUGUUUGCUCAAAGCAUAAUGCACGCUAUGACAUAAAUCUUUCCAUAUGACCAUUCACUUUGUGGAUUGUUCAGUUUGGAGAUUCACACUGCCUCUCCUCUUCCUUUCAAUAUGUAAGCCUUUAAAUUGUUGGAAAAACAAUGACAGAACAGAGGAGAGAUCACUACUCACACAAUUUGGUGGAAUACAAUACACUAAAUAAUAGUACUCUCACACUUUUCAUUAUCAGAUCCAGACAAUAUAUAUAAACAUUAUAAAAUGUUUUUUACAAUCUCCAAAGAACUUAAUUUAUAUUAGACUUAAUCUUAAUAUGAUUAUUCAUUGAACUAACUUCAAUACACUUAAUCUUGAUAACCAAGUUUAAUAAUUAACAUUUUCCCCUCUUAAAUUUGUUCUGUCUAUCUUCAUGAUUCCAAGCUUCAUCUGCAAAUAACAGAACACAUCAAUCUUCAAUGGCUUUGUAAAAAUGUCUGUAAUUUGUUCAUGAGUUUUGACAACUAACUCCACAUCGCCUUCUUUUAUGUGCUCUCUGAUGAAGUGAAAUCGAGUAUCAAUAUGUUUUGAACGUUCAUGAUGAACUGGAUUCUUUGCAAGUGCUAUAGCAAACUUGUUAUCAACAAAGAUUCGUGUAGUCUUGCUCUGUUUCUGCUGCAAAUCUUCCAUCAGUUUCCCUCCCCCCAUAUUGCAUGACACACACAAACGAUGCAGCAACAAUAUAUUCUGCUUCACAUUUGGAUAAUAUGACAAUAUAUUGUUUCUUUGAUGUCCACGUGAAAGCUGUUUCUCCCAUAAAGAAUACAAAUCCAGUUGUGCUUUUUCUGUCUUCCAAGCUUCCUGCCCAGUCACUGUCACUGUAACCUGUAAUUUCAAGAUUCUGCGAAGAUGAAUAAAACAAUCCAUAGCUUGCAGUUCCUUUAACAAAACGAAGGAUCCUCUUUGCUGUCUCAAAUGUGAACUUCUUGGCUUCUCUAUAUAUAUGCUAAUCNNNNNNNNNNNNNNNNNNNNNNNNNNNNNNNNNNNNNNNNNNNNNNNNNNNNNNNNNNNNNNNNNNNNNNNNNNNNNNNNNNNNNNNNNNNNNNNNNNNNUGUUAAUAACGCAAGCACCCACAAUACUUUUGUAGUAUGUAGGAUUAACUAAAUCUCCUUUUUCUUCUUUAGUUAACUUGGUUCCAUAUUCAACUGGAUUGUCUGCUGGAUAACAAUCUUCCAUAGCAAAUUUCUUCAAAACUUCUGCUGCAUACUUUGCUUGUGAAAUGAAUAUUCCAUCACUGCAUUGCUUCACCUCUAAUCCUAGAAAAUAGGCCAUGAGACCUAAGUCUGUCAUUUCAAAUUUCUUCACCAUGGAUUGCUUAAAGUCUUGAGUCAUAGUUGAAUCAUCCCCUGUGAAAAGUAUAUCAACAUAUAAACAAACAAACAUUACUCUGCCUUGUAAACUUUUCUUCACAUAUAAUGCAUGCUCAUAAGGGCAUCUUGUGAAUCUUUUCUGUGAAAGAUAGCCAUCAAUUCUAGAGUUCCAUGCUCUUGGUGCUUGUUUAAGCCCAUAAAGAGCUUUCUUCAAUUUGCAAACCUUCUCUUCUUCUCCUUUUACCACAAAGCCAGCUGGUUGUUCUCCAUACACUACCUCUUCAAGGUUAUCGUUCAAGAAUGCUGACUUUACAUCCAUCUGAAAUAUCUUCCAUCUUUUCUGAGCUGCCAGGGAAGUCAUCAAUCUUACUGUUUCCAUUCUUGCUACUGGAGCAAAAACAUCUUCAUAAUCAACUCCAUAUUGUUGCUUGUACCCCUUCGCUACUAAUCUGGCUUUAUGUUUUUCAAUUUCUCCUUCUGCAUUCCUCUUUGUCUUGAAGACCCAUUUUACUCCUAUUUCAUUGUGUCCUUCGGGAAGUGUUGUCAAUUCCCAUGUAUUAUUUUUUAUGAUGGAACUGAUCUCCUCCUUCAUUGCUUUCUUCCACCUGUCUUUCUGAUAUGCUUCUUCAAAUGUAAUAGGAUCAUUUCCUGAAAAAAAGCAAAGCAUAUUAACAUCAUCAAGAUUGAUUCUUUCUGUUACAUCAUAAAUCUCUUGUAUGCUCUUUGUCUUUCUUGUUGUUGAGCUUGAAGGACCAGCAAGACUAUUAGUUAAUAGGGAUAGAGCUAACUUGAUUUCUCCUUCAUCUUUCUGAAUUUGUUCUUCAUCUACAAUUAGUUUAUGUGGCUAAUCUUCAGAAUUCCAACUUCAUCCUUGCUCUUCAUCAAACUUCACAUCUCUUGACAUGAUCACCUUCUUUGUCAUUGGAUUGUACAAUUUGUAACCAUGCGAGUUUUCUCCAUAUCCCAGCAGUAUGCAUUUCUAACUUUUAUCUUCAAGUUUAGUUCUUCUUUCUUCUUGAAUUUUGGCAUAAGCAACACUGCCAAAAGUUCUCAAAUGAUCAACUCUUGGUUUCUUCAUGCUCCAUGCUUCUUCUGGUGUGAUCUUCUAAAGUCUUUUUGUUGUAAAUCUGUUCAACAAAUACAUAGCACAUACAACUGUAUCUCCUAAAAACUCUUUUGGAUAAUUUUUUUCUUUUAGCGUACAUCUAACCAUGUUCAUAAUAGUUAUGCUUUUUCUCUCUGAUACUCCAUUCUGUUGUGGAGUCUGUGGCAUUGUGAGCUGAUGAAUAAUACCAUUUUCCUUACAAUAAUCAUCAAAAUCACGAGAAAUAUACUCUCCUUCCCUAUCUGUUCUUAGGCAUUUUAGCUUACAUUCACUUUGUUUUUCUACUAAAUUUUUAAAUUCCUUAAAUUUGCCCAACACUUCUUUCUUUUCUUUUAACACACAUACCCAUGUCUUUCCACUAAAAUCAUCAGUAAAAGUGAGAAAAUAUCUGCUUCCUCCUAUUGAAGUAAGCGAGAUAGGGCAACACACAUCUGAAUACACCAAGUCAAUAAUCUGAGAUGCUCUUGAGCUCUUAUUUGGGAAUGGCUUUCUGUGCUGCUUUUCCAUUACACACACUUCACACAUUCUGCUUGUGUGCUCUAACUUUGGUAUUCCAAGAACCAUUUUGCUUUUCUCCAUCAGCAUAAGUGAUCCACAAUUCAAAUGUUCAUAUCAUAGAUGCCACAAAUUCAUCAAGUUAGAGAUUUCUGCCUUAAAACAUUUUGACUGAUAUAUGCUCAGAUCUAGAGGGAACAUCCUAUUUCUAGUCAUUUUAACUGAAGCAAUUGCAGCUCCAGACUCAUCAAAAAUCUUCAGAUUCUUGUCUUUCAUUNNNNNNNNNNNNNNNNNNNNNNNNNNNNNNNNNNNNNNNNNNNNNNNNNNNNNNNNNNNNNNNNNNNNNNNNNNNNNNNNNNNNNNNNNNNNNNNNNNNNNNNNNNNNNNNNNNNNNNNNNNNNNNNNNNNNNNNNNNNNNNNNNNNNNNNNNNNNNNNNNNNNNNNNNNNNNNNNNNNNNNNNNNNNNNNNNNNNNNNNNNNNNNNNNNNNNNNNNNNNNNNNNNNNNNNNNNNNNNNNNNNNNNNNNNNNNNNNNNNNNNNNNNNNNNNNNNNNNNNNNNNNNNNNNNNNNNNNNNNNNNNNNNNNNNNNNNNNNNNNNNNNNNNNNNNNNNNNNNNNNNNNNNNNNNNNNNNNNNNNNNNNNNNNNNNNNNNNNNNNNNNNNNNNNNNNNNNNNNNNNNNNNNNNNNNNNNNNNNNNNNNNNNNNNNNNNNNNNNNNNNNNNNNNNNNNNNNNNNNNNNNNNNNNNNNNNNNNNNNNNNNNNNNNNNNNNNNNNNNNNNNNNNNNNNNNNNNNNNNNNNNNNNNNNNNNNNNNNNNNNNNNNNNNNNNNNNNNNNNNNNNNNNNNNNNNNNNNNNNNNNNNNNNNNNNNNNNNNNNNNNNNNNNNNNNNNNNNNNNNNNNNNNNNNNNNNNNNNNNNNNNNNNNNNNNNNNNNNNNNNNNNNNNNNNNNNNNNNNNNNNNNNNNNNNNNNNNACUAUCAUAUCUUUCAAAUUCUUUGAUUCUUCAAUUGCUACGACCACAUGAUCAAACUUUGAAUCCAGAGACCUCAAAAUUUUCUCCAUCACACGAACAUCAUCAAUAUUUUCACCAUUCCUUCUCAUCUAGUGAACCACAUAGAUUACUUUUGUGAAGUAAUCUGAAACUGUCUCAUUACUUUCUUUACUCAACUCCUCAAAGUCUCCUCUCAAUGCUUGCAACCGUACCUUUUUGGUCUUUUCAACUCCACUAUAAGUCUUGUUAAGCAUUUCACAUGCCUCCUUUGACAUCUUUGCUGGUGCCACCAUCUCAAGAAUUGCUUCAUCAAGUCCUUGAUAAAUGGUGAAUAACGCCUUAUUAUCUUUCUUCCUUGAUUCUCUCAAUGUUUGUCUUUCUACAUUACUCAUUGCUGCCUCUUCUCUUGUUGAUUCUGGUUCAGUGUAACCAUCUUCAACUAACUCCCAUAACUCUUGUGAUCUUAGUAGUGCCUUGUAUUGAAUACACCACAGAUCAUAGUUUUGUUUGGUAAGAUGAAGAAUAUGAAAUUGAGAAUUGUUGUUGCUGGAAGCCACAUCUAGUCUCAAACUCUGAAACCACUUUGUUGGAAAAAUAAUGACAGAACAGAGGAAGGAUCACUACUCACACAAUUUGGUGGAAUACAAUACACUAAACAAUGGUAUUCUCACACUUUUCAUUAUCAGAUUCAAACAAUAUAUAUAGAUAUUAUAAAAUAUCUUUUACAAUCUCCAAAGAACUUAAUUAAUAUUAGACUCUUCAUUACUUACUCUAAAUUCAUAGUACUAUUAGAUUCAUAUUACUACUAGAUUCAUAAUAUUUGUAAUGUAGAUAUUAUUUAUUGAACUAACUUCAAUACAUUUAAUCUUGAUAAACAAGUUUAAUAACUAACAUAAAUCUGUCGAGUCAGCAAGGCUUACUAAAGCAAGAUCGCAGCAGGGAAGACGGUUCAACCAUGGACGGACAAGCAUUUUCCCUUAUCGGCGCUCAUGAGCAGUGAGAGUAGUCAGACAUUGCGAGCCAUGCCUUUAAGAACCACAGGUUGAACUAAUGCUUCUUGCAUUUGCAUGCUUGUUCUUGAGCGUAAUCCACUACUCUGCUAUAGUCUAUACAUGGCUCCACUUGAUGUUUGAAGAUACGAGCAACAUUUUUGUUCAGGGGUGAGGGUCUGCUUGUAUUAGGAUUUGUACACAUGAACACCAUUUUUAAUUUAAAAGCUUACCUUUCCCUUUCCCAAAUAAAUUUAUUUUUAUAUCUUUUUUUUUUAAUAUUUGCAAGAAUAAUUAAGAUUAGCCAUUAGCUCACCUCUACCAGCUUAGUCCAAUUCGUGUCCUACAAGGGUAGCCUAACAUUAAUGUUUGAGAUAUGCAGAGGCCUACCCUUACAUUAAUGUUUGAGAUAUACAGAGGUUGUACAGUGUUAUGGUAAUUAUUAUUUUUUAAAGUAUUUUUAUUUUAAAAAUAUAUUAAAACAAUUUUUUUAUGUUUUAAAAUUUAUUUUUAAUAUUAGUAUAUCAAAACGAUCUAAAAUCCAAAACAAAAUUAAUUUGAAACAAAGAAAAAAAUAAAUAAAAUUUAAUUUUUUUUAAAAUGCUUUUAAAGCAUCAAAACAAACAAGGUCUAAAAAUUUAAAGUUCAAACAUUAAAAAAAUAAAUAAGAUAAGAAAUGAUUAUUUCAAUUAUAUAGUCUAUAACCAUUGGUCCAACCCAUCAAAAAAUAAAAAAGUAAUGGCUUGAAAUUUUAUAUUUUCUCCAUCGUAUCUUUUAUUUUUCAUUUCAUAUCCUUAACCUUAAUUAUCAUAUCCUUCUAUUCUAAUUUAUCCAUAUACAUAAUUAAUAACAUAGCUGAGUAUUAUUAGUCCUAGCUAGAGUAACCAUCUACAAGCGAUAUGUCACCUGUUUAAUUAGAAAAAGAAAAGGAGUGGAGAAAAAGAAAAGGAGUGGGUGACAUGUGAAAAAAAUAACAUAUAUUAUCAUAUUAUUUUUCUAAUAACAUAUAUGUUUAUUGUCAUAUAAUUAAAAAAAAUAAAUUGUCUUGUAUAAACAAUGUUACUAGGCCGGGUCGAGAUCAUGAUUAGAAUCACUAGUUUAUCAGGAUAGGUGGGGUUGAUUGAAGAUGUAAUAAUCUCUAGAUAUUUUAAAAAAACUACUAUGUAUAAAAUAAAUUUUGAAUUUAUAAUUAAAAUUUUAUUUUUAAAUAAAUAAAUAUAUUAACAGUGAAUGCAAACUUUUUAUGGUUAAAUUAUUAUUUGGUAUGAACCAUAGCAAAGCAUGGAACAAUUACUCUUGUGAAAUCUACAACAUCAAUGUAUUAAAAUAAUUCUUGCUCAACGAACAAGUUUUGUGUGAGAAUUUCUGAAAACAAAAGUGUUCAUGAAAGAAAUGUCAUUGCCUAGACUCUCACGAUCGAAUCUUAUGCUCGGUAUGAACCAUAGCAAAGCAUGGAACAAGUUUUGUGUGAGAAUUUUCUGAAAACAAGUGUUUCCUACGCAACGUCUCACCAAACUACUUUAAAGUUUAAACUGUCAUCUUGCAAAGCCUAAAUAUAAAAACCCCAACCCACAACUCUGAACACAAGCACAGAAACCAUGGCCUCCUCCAUAGAACACAGAACCAUUAAUGUCAAUGGCAUUAAUAUUCAUGUAGCAAUCAAAGGUCCAGAGAAUGCCCCAGUUAUUCUCUUCAUCCAUGGAUUCCCUCAACUAUGGUAUUCCUGGAGACACCAGAUUGAGGCUCUAUCCUCACUUGGCUACAGAGCUGUGGCACCGGACUUGAGAGGGUAUGGUGACACAGAUGCGCCAGCUGAGGUUACAAGUUACACCGUUCUCCACGUGGUUGGUGAUUUGAUUGGGUUGCUUGAUGUUGUUGCUCCGAAUCAAGAGAGUGUUUUUGUUGUGGGACAUGAUUGGGGUGCUUUGAUAGCUUGGCAUUUGUCUUUGUUUAGACCAGACAGAGUUAAAGCUUUGGUUAACUUGAGUGUUUUGUUUAAUCCAAGGAAUCCCAGUAGGAAAGUUAUUGCGACUUUGAAGGCUGUUUAUGGUGACGAUUAUUAUAUUAUCAGAUUCCAGGUUUGUUUUAUUGUUAUUUUAAUGAUGGGUUCUUGAUUUUCAGAAUCAAAGUUACUUUCUUGACUGCAUACUGUGUUUUGUGAUGUCAAAUUGUAAACUUGUUCUAGCAAAUCUUUCGCCUUUUCUGGAUUACAUGGAUUAUGUUAGUAGAUUUUGUAGGCAUGUUUACUAUUUGAAGGGAUCAUUUGACAGGUAUGAAAAGAUCAGGCAUUUGCAGUUGUUUAUUUGAAUUGACCUAUCUUUUCUUUUGUUAUAUGAAGUGUUUAAUCAUCAAGUUUUAGACUUUUGAUUGUUAUGCUAAUAAAUCUUCGACCCUUUACGUAGUAUAGGAAUUGGAUUAUCAUCUAUUUUAUAUUUUGUUUACUAUUUGCAGUGAUUAUUUGAUUGGGAUGGAUUAGAUUGGGCUUUUUGGUAGUAAUUAGCUAGUAGCUACGAAUUUGACCAGCUGUUCUAGCUGAAAUGAUUAUUUAACAGUAUAAUUUUAGCUGAAGCUUAAAUAAUCAUUCAUGGCAUCAGACAACUUUGUUAUCUAACUGUUCUUGAGCACACUUGAGAAAGUUUUUAAUUUUGGUCUUGUAUAGUUUAUCAUAAUUGUCUUCUUAUGAAGAUGUACAAAACCCAUUUUAAUUGAGGAACUGCUCGAUUGUUUUUGUAGGAGCCUGGAGAGAUUGAAGCUGAGUUUGCAGAGAUAGGUACAGAGAAAGUUCUCAAGGAAUUCUUAACCUACCGCACUCCAGCUCCUAUCUUUUUACCUAAAGGCCAAGGGUUUAAUGGAAAGCCUCUGGACACUCCAGUUGUCUUACCCUCUUGGUUGUCUGAAGAAGAUGUCAAGUACUACACCAGCAAGUUUGAGCAGAAAGGCUUUACUGGAGGAUUGAACUAUUACCGCAAUCUUGACCGGUAUGUCUUCCUUCCAUGUUUGUUCUGUUUGUUGGUCUUUCCUGGUAAUGCAGAUUAAAAAUUUCCUGUGGCCCGGAAAUUUAGAUGUGUCUCCAACCUCUGUUGUAUUUGGGGUUUUCGUUACUUUUACGUCGCUGUUGCUUAUUGAUCGGGACAGAGGGACUUUAUUAUCUUUCAUUAAGAGAUUGAAUUGAAAUCCAUACCCAGGAGUCUUAAUAUUUCCAAGUGUUUCAGCAUGCUAUAUAGCUCUUGAAAUGAAGACCUUUGCUUUUGUUGCUUUCCUGAUCGGUGUACAAGUUUUAUUUCCUUUCUUCCCCAUCAUCAUUCCUGCUUCAUUUUUUUUCCUAAUUCCUCUUACCUUCCAUGUUGCAGGAACUGGGAACUUACCGCACCAUGGACUGGAGCUCAAAUAAAAGUUCCAGUCAAGUUUAUCGUGGGUGAUCAGGACCUCACCUAUAAUUCUCUCGGUGCCAAGGAUUAUAUAGCCAAGGGCGGGUUCAAAAGAGACGUUCCAUUUCUACAGGACCUAGUUGUAAUGGAAGGUGUGGGUCAUUUUAUCAAUGAAGAGAAACCUGAAGAGAUCAGUAAGCACAUUUACGACUUCUUUCAAAAGUCUAGUUCGCUUGCUUGGUUUCCUUCCUGUUGUCUUUGCUGAAGAGAUAAAGAAUUCAAGUGUGUGCAUUCGUAUGUUCAAAGCUUGCAUGCUCCUGUGGGGUUUUGAUUAUUUGAAUGAGAUGUUCUUGUGGUGAGUUACUGUAAUGGUUGCUGUAAUUUCCAUAUGCACUCAAAAUAAAUCAUGUGUGUGAUUGUUUCGUGCCCAACAUUUAACUGGUGCUUUGAGUAGCCUCGAGGAAUUGAUUGCUCAAAGAACAAGCAUGCUGUGAUGUGACAUAUUUCCUCACAGGGCCAUUUCAUUCUCUGUAUCAUUUAUUCAGCAUUGAUUCACUCAGGCUCACCUGUGGAACACUGCACCCAUGAAACUCUAUGCACUUGCAUUUUAGCUUUUUAGGUGCCGAAAAUAAAGGCACAUUAACUAGAGUGCCUUCAAGUAAUUGCAAGGACUUUCAUCCAUUGUUAUAAAUACUGAAAUCCAUAAGGGUAGCUUUGGAUUUAUUUUUUAAUAGUCACGAGUCCUUUCAGAAUCACUAAAAGCUUACGUGGUCGUUAACUUUAAGACCCGUGAGAUUUGUCGAGGUACGCGCAAGCUGACUCGAACACCCAUAUUAAUAAAAAAAACCAAAAAACCCAAAAGCCGGCAUUAAACUAGUGAUUUAUCAACUCAGGACUAGUUGAGUUUAAUGUUUUUGGAAGAUGUGAUUGUUGAGAAUAUGAUAUUUCUAUUUAAUUUAAAAUAAAAAUUUUAAUCAAUGUAUUUGUGUUCAGUUAAAUAGAAAAAAAUGUGGAGAAUAUGAGUAAAUUUAUCAUUUUAUCUUUGAAAAUUAAAUUAUAUAAUUUAAUCAUAAGAUAUUUAAUUGUUUUUUUUAAUGCUGAUCACGUUACUCAAGUCUAAAACUAAAACAUUAAAGUAAAUUCAAUAGAUAAUUUAAUUUUAUAAAAUUAUAGCUAUCAAGUAGAAUAAUAUAUUUAUCAACACAUUACAUAACAUAUAUAUUGUGAUUUCAUAGAAAAUUAAUAUAAACUAGUUACCUAAACUGGGUUAUUAUUGGAGUAGAAAAAAAUAAAACAUGCUAGGCAAUUUAACAUAAAGUUUGGAUGCAUUUAAUAAGUCAAAAAGUUGAAAGCUGACAUCUCAAACUCUGCUUAUUUUAGAAGAGAAUCACAUUUCCAGCGUCCUAGGGCAUUUGAGAUUCCCAAGAAUUCAACCAAACAUAAAAAUACUUGACCUCUCGAAUCACUUUCUCCCUAUAAUCUUAAAUAUCAUAGUAUCAAACGCCCCCUUACUGAUGUUUCGUGCCGCUAGAUGGGAUGUGAGGAUGCUCAGCAACUUCCAGGCCUUUUGCGUUUCUCAACAUUGAAGUGCACAUCGAUAAGAUCUGUUAUACCAGCUGUUAUUUUUUGACCUAUUUUUACAGGGCCAACACCUUGUGGGGUGCUUG
rnacentral:lncRNA from 1 species